UCGGCGCGGAGGUCAAAAGCGCCGCGCCGCCCAGGGUUUGUUCGGCAGCCGGACGAAGAAACCCAGGGGCGGGGCAGCAGCCACCAGGCGGGAGGAGGCGGCCGCGAAGGCGGCUCGCUUCCGCAAGACGGUGAAGCAACCGCAGACCGUGUCGGCGUAAGUUCACUUUCUUUCGUAUACUCUUUUUUCUUUCUUUUCUCUGGUGGUUCCUGAGCCCUUGUCUUUUUCUCCAAUGAUCAGAGCUCCGUUGUCGCUUGAGCGGGCGGCUGCUGCCUCCGUCGUCGAGUCGCCGAGGGGGUCUUGGAGCACCACCCGCCGUGUGGACCCCCGCGCCGAGCUUCAGGCGGCAACAAAACGGAACGCGCGGGAGGCGCGGGAGGAACAGGAGGCGCGGGAGGCGGAGGCACGGAAGGCGGCCGCCGCCCAGGCGGCACGGGAGGAGGAGGCGGCGAAGGCGCUCGCCGAUGCCGCAGCCAGGGCUCAAGCAGAGGCUGCGGCCGCGGCGGCGGCGGGGGAGGUUUUGAUGGUCACCCCGCUGCGCGUCAUGGCGCCUGGGGACGUGGAGCCCUCGCCAGAGGGAGCCAGCGGCGACGAGCCAGGGCUGGGGAGAAACGACGACGUCAUCAUCCUGGAGAGGGCGCCAGUGCCGACCCCGCCAACUAGGGCGGCUCAAGGCGGCCGACCUGAUCAGCCGCCUGCGCAGUCGGCGGGGGGCGAGCCGGCCGCGAGGACUGAGAUGGCGGUCCGGAUGCCGCCGAGCCGACGCGCGGGGAAGGCUGCGUCGGAGCCACAGAAAGCCACGCCGGAGCAGCAGCCGGCCGUGGGCUCCAGCUUGUCAGCCUAGGAUGCGGAGGCGGCCAGCGCUACCUCGGGGUGGACGCCAGGCGGAGGGACGGCCGUGAUGAACGUGGCCGCGCAGGACGUCCGGACCCGGCUCCAGGGCCAAGUUGCGGCGCUGAGGCAGUUCACCGACGAGUUCCUCGCGACGCGGGCGGCCAUCCGGGUUAGUCUUCCCAUCUUGCUUCUUCUUGACUUUGAUUUCUUCUGUGGGGGCGCGUCAGCGCACCCACUGGGUGUAGUCCCCGAGUUCCGAGUCGGCUGCUGAGCAGGCGGCUUGGAACUUCUUGGUGGAUUUGUCUUUGCUAUUCUUGUUCUUACUUCGAUCUUCUGUCUAUCUUGCAGGACUACCACAAUCUUCGUGCGGCCGCCUUCAACUCCCAGUCUCGGGAGCUGACCUAGAAGACCGCCGACCUUACUGAGAGCCGCGGUACGUGCUUUGUUCUUUAUCUCAUGUGGGGGCGAGUCAGCGCACCCACUGGGUGUAGUCCCCGAGAUUCGGGCCGACUGCUGAGCAGUCGGGUCGGAUCUUCCUUCACGACUUCUUCUUACUGUUCUUUCUUUUUCUGCCGUCCCUGCAGCGGCCAAUGCCAGUCUGAGGGCACAGCUGGGAGAGUCUCAGACCGCCCUUCGUGCCAAGGAUGCCGAGCUCGCCGCCUUGGUGCAGGAAUGCGACCGCCUGGGCAAGAAGUUGGCCGACCAGGAGGAGGGCCACAAGGCGGCACUGAAGGCGGUGCAGGACCGCGAAGCCGCCCUCCAGGCCGAGUACGAGACGGAGGCGGCUGGCUGGGCUGAGGCCAGGCAGACUCUGAUCUCUGGCUAUGGCCAGAUCGAAGAUCUGGUUGACGGUAAGCCGCCUACCUCUUCGUCCUUUCUUGCCAUCUGCCACUUUGGCUCUUUUUCUGAUUUGGUGCUCUUUUCUUCUUUUCUUCUUCUUUCCUGCGCAGAAUAUUUCCCUGGCUAUUCUACUGCCGCCAACCAGACCAUCGAGGCCCGUCGCCAAGCGCGAAGGCUGGCUGGCUUUGAGAUCUUGCCAACCGCCGGUCGUUCGCUGGCGGAGCAGCUCUUGGAGAUCCAGGCCCGCAUCCAGCCGGCUCACCGACUGCUCCGUCGGCUUCAACGUGCCGGGGCGCAAGUCUUGGCCACCCUCUGGCCCGGCCAGGUGGUUCCUCGCACCCCCAGUCGGACUGCCGACUGGCUGGAGGUGGCAGUCGGCCUCUUCGAGGCUUGGAAGGCCUCGGCGGCUAGCUCCGGCGCCAGGCGGGCGCUGGAGUUCGUCAAGGCCUGGUAUCCUGGCCUGAGCCUGGAUCAGCUGGCUACCUGGCGGCAGCAAGCCGACACGGAGCUGGAGCCGGCGCGGCCGGCUAUCAUCCGGCGGGCUUCGGCGAUCACCGACUACACCGACACCAGUGUCUUCGCCCCCGAGGUAGACGACAACGGUGUCCCCCAGCCGGAGGAGUGGUUCGGGCUGAACCCGGCGGACGGUGAAGACUCGGCGGAGGAGAUUGACUCCAGCGACGAGGGCGAAGAGGAGGAGGAGGAAGGUGAAGACGCCGAGCCGGCUGGUGGAGCAGCCGACCAGCCUCAGCCUGACCGCGCCUCCAGCACUACGUCGCGUGCGAGUGCGUCGCCUGCCACUGGUGGUGGCCAAGCCGAGACCCGCUAGGCGGCCACUCCUUCAGCCGGCAAGGCCGUCUCCACCGACCAGCUCGGCUUCCACGUCGCGCCCUAGUCUGCCAUCUUUUGUUUUCCUGUCUUGUUACUUUUGGAACAAUGUUUGGUUAAGUCUGCACAAUUCCACCCACUGGGUGUAUUCGAACUUAUGUCUGUUGCCAACCUGUUGGGGGCUUCUUAUAUGUAUAUAUAACUUAUGCAUGCAUCUGGCCUUUCCUUGUACUUUGCUUUUUAUCCUUCCGCUUUUUCCUUUGCCGCCCUCCCUUGGUUGCCGCCUCCCCAGUCCAACAGUUGCUCUGCAAUCUGUAGCUGGAGGAGUGCUUGGCCGAUUGGGGGGGGAAGUACUCUAGCUUUGCUGGACUAAAGCUAAGUGUUUAGGAAGCCGGCCAGCUGGCUGUUCUGACAGCCGGCAGGCGUGUUUGGAGGCCGUCCUUUUGCUGUGUAAGUUCGUUGGUCCUUAGCCAUUUUUCGUGUGGGCAUCCUUUCUGCCUUGCCUCUUGCUAGUCGGACAGUCGGUUCUUCGAGCUGUGACUUUCAACAAGAGAGGACUCGGGAGCCGGCACACUACUUUUCUGACUUCAGGUAGAACUUUUAAUAUAGCUUAAGGCGGCCAGUCCCCGGGCCGACGAACCCGGUGCCAGACAAGAAAUCAAAUGUAAUAAUACAUUCAUGGAUAUGACAUUCGUCAUUCAUAGAUAAAUAAAAGGCAGUCCCCGGGUACUGUUCGGGGGGCCUGUUGGUUCGUGCUUAAUACAAAAAGGGGUAGCAUGAUACAUACUGCUUUCAACUGUAAAAUCGUCUUAGGAGGCUUGCGUUCCAUGGUCGCUCUGACUCCUUGCCGGAGUCGUCUCUCUUGCGUGCUCUUGGUUUUUGUGCGUCGAUCAAGUAGUAGGAGUCGUCGCUGAGUGCCUUGCAGACAACGAAGGGGCCUUCCCAAGGGGCCGAGAGCUUGUGCUGGCCGGCUGUUCGCUGGAUCAGCCGGAGCACAACGUCGCCUUCUUGGAAGGAUCUUGGCUUGACCUUGCGAUUGUAGUAGCGGCGCAGCCCUUGCUGGUAGAUGGCGGACCGGCUGAGUGCUAGCAGCCGGCCUUCUUCCAGUAGGUCCACGCCGUCUUCUCUUGCUUCUUUGGCCUCCUCCUUCGUGUACAUGGUGAUCCGAGGCGAGUCAAACUCGAUGUCUAUUGGGAUGACAGCCUCGGCACCGUACACGAGGAAAAAUGGAGUGAAGCCGGUUGACUUGUUGGGUGUAGUGCGCAGACUCCAGAGGACAGCCGGCAGCUCAUCGAGCCAGCAGCCGGCCGAUCGGUCCAGUGGUACAACCAGUCGGGGCUUGAUGCCGGAGAGGAUGAGUCCAUUUGCUCGCUCGACCUAGCCGUUUGACUGCGGGUGGGCAAUGGACGCUAGGUCCAGUCGGAUGCCCUGCGUCGCGCAGAAACGUGCCAGUGCUCCUUUGGCGAAGUUCGUGCCGUUGUCGGUGAUGAUGCUGUGCGGCACGCCGUACCGAGUAGUGAUGUCAGUGAUGAAUGUCACGGCAGUCGGCCCGUUCAGCUUCUUGUUUGGCUUUGCUUCGAUCCACUUUGUGAACUUGUCCACAGCAACAAGUAGAUGUGUCAGGCCGCCGCGGGCUGUCUUGAAAGGGCCUACCAUGUCCAGUCCUCAGACGGCAAAAGGCCAGGUGAGGGGAAUGGUCUUGAGUGCAGAAGCCGGCAGCUGUUGCUUGGAACUAAAAACUUGGCAUCCUCUGCAGCUCUUGACUAUUUCUUUAGUAUCCUCCAAGGCAGUCGGCCAGAAGAAACCAUGGCGGAAAGCCUUGGCCACAAGGGAUCUUGAGGCUGCGUGGUGGCCACAUUCGCCUUGGUGGAUGUCUUUGAGGAUUGCCACUCCUUUUUCUGGCUCGACACAACGCUGGAAGACUCCAGUGACGCUGUGCUUCACAAGCUCUCUGUUGAUUAUUGUAUAUGCUGUGGCUCGUCGUUGCACUAGUCUUUCUGAGAUCUCAUCAGCCGGCAGCUCUAUGCUGACUAGGAACUUGAGGAUGGGCUAGGCCCAUGAGGGAGCUGUGACUUCUUCUUCUGUUAAUGUAGCCACCAUGACUCGGGCGGGUGGGUUGGGUGAGUCGGCCACCGCUUCUUGUGUCGUUCUAGUCCCUGGGCCGACUGCUGCAGUCCCCGGGCCGGGUGCGACUACGGCAGUCCCCGGGCCAGUUGUCGAAGUCCCCGUGCCGCCUGCGGGGUUCUUCCAGUUGGAUCCGGCUGUAUCUGGCGCAGGCGGUACGAAGAUGGAGUCCGACUCUGGAGAUGGUUUGAUGGACGGCUUGAGGAGGCGCUGGAGGGAGACGCCAGUCGGUAUGGCUUGUCGGGUGGAGCCGAUCCGUGCUAGGGCAUCUGCUCGGUCGUUGUCGGCCCUUGGCACGUGAAGGAACUCGCACACUUCAAAGUAUCCGCUGAUCUGCUGGACGAGGAAUCGAUAGCUCGCCAUGUUCGCGUCCUUGGCGUCCCAGUCGCCAGACGAUUGCUGGACCACCAAAUCUGAGUCGCCGUAGCACAGGAUCCGGCGUAUGCCAAGCUCUUUGGCUAGCCGGAGUCCAUGUACGAGCGCCUCGUACUCGGCCAAGUUGUUGGAGGCGGCGAAGUGGAUCUGCAGCGUGUACUUGAGCUUGUCGCCUUUGGGAGAGGUGAGGACGAUGCCGGCUCCCAAGCCGGUGCGCAUCUUGGACCCGUCAAAGUGCAUCCUCCAAUGGGUAGAGUCGGGAGCCGGCGGUAAGUACUGGGGCUCGGCCCAGUCGACGAGGAAGUCGGCCAGUGCUUGGGACUUGAUGGCGGUGCGGGGUUGGUAGAAGAUUGGGCAGGGCGCCAAUGCAAUGGCCCAUUUAGCCACCCGGCCGGAUGCAUCCCGGCUGCCUAUGAUCUCAGCGAGCGGGGCGGUGCACACGACCGUGAUGGGGUGCUCUUGGAAAUAUGGCUUCAAAUUCUUGGCAGCGAAGUGCACCCCAUAGCACAUCUUCUGAUAGUGCGGGUAGUUUUGCUUUGAGCUGGAUAGCACUUCGCUGAGAUAGUACACCGGCCUCUGGACUAGCUGGGCUCGGCCUUCUUCCGGGCGCUGGACUACAAUAACAGUGCUGACGACUCGGCUAGUCGCGGCGAUGUAAAGGAGCAUGGGCUCCUUCUCAGUCGGCGCUGCCAGGACAGGCGGAGUGGUCAGCAUUUUCUUCAACUCAUGGAAGGCUUGGUCGGCUUGGUCGUUCCACUCGAAGUGAGUGGACUUCUUCAUGAGUCGGUACAGGCGGAGAGCCUUCUCUCCUAGUCGGCUGAUAAAACGAUUCAGGGAGGCUAAGCAGCCAGUGAACUUCUGCACAUCUCGCAGCUUGGUGGGAAUCUCCAUCCUCUCGAUGGCCUUGAUCUUGACGGGGUUGCAUUCGAUGCCGCGUUCGGAGACCAGGAAGCCUAGCAGCUGGCCGGCUGGCACUCCGAACACGCACUUCUCGGGGUUGAGCUUGAUUUGGAAUCGGCGCAAGUUGGCGAAUGUUUCUUUCAGGUCUUCCAGCAGGGUGCCGCGCUUCUCUGUCUUCACCACAACGUCGUCUACAUAGACGUGGGCAUUUCUGCCGAGUUGUUUCAAGAGGCAUUUCUGCAUGCAACGCUGAAAAGUGGCACCGGCAUUUCUCAAGCCGAAUGUCAUAGUCAGGUAGCAGAAAGCUCCAAAGGGUGUGAUGAAGGCAGUCUUCAAGCGGUCAGCUGGGUCCAACUUGAUCUGAUGGUACCCUGAGUACGCAUCCAAAAAACUUAACAGCUCGCAUCCGGCUGUGGAGUCUAUCACUUGGUCAAUCCAUGGCAGAGCAAACGGAUCCUAUGGGCAGGCCUUGUUCAGGCUGGUGUAGUCUAUGCACGUACGCCACUUGUUAUUCUUCUUCAGCACCAGAACUAGGUUGGCAAGCCAUUCUGGAAAGAACACUUCCAUGAUAAAGCCAGCGGCAAGGAGCCGGGCUAUCUCUUCUCCCACGAUUCUUCGCUUCUCUUCUGAUAGUCGGCAGAGGGGUUGCUUGAUGGGCUUCGCAUCAGCUCGGACAUGUAGCUUGUGCUCGGCGAAAUCCUUCGGGACACCCGACAUGUCCUUUGGGGACCAUGCGAAGAUGUCUCGAUUCUCACGGAGGAAGUCGACGAGCUCGCCUUCCUAUUUACUGUCCAAGUUCGCCCCAAUGACAGCGAACCUCUCCGGGUUCUUCGGGUCCAGAGGUAUCUUCUUCGUUUCUUUGGCAGGCUGGAAGGAGCCCUGCGCAUCACAAUCCUUGGGGUUGGGGGACAAGGCCGGCUGUUUGCCGGCCAUGGCCACAACCCGUUCCAACAUCUUCUUGUCUUCUCCCACCACGAGGGACUCGGCCAGCCGGCUACUGGCCAUGGCGCACUCGGUGGACUUCUUGUAGUCGCCGGCUACCAUGAUGAUCCCCUUCGAGCUCGGCAUCUUCAUCUUUAGGUAGGCGUAGUGGGGCACAGCCAUGAACUUGGCUAGAGCAGGUCGGCCAAGCAGUGCAUGAUAGGGGCUCUCCAAAUCCACCACCUCGAACCAGAUUGCUUCUCGGUGAAAAUGAUCUUUGUGUCCGAAGAGAACAUCCAUUUUAAUCUUGCCGAUUGGGGAGCAAGACAAGCCGUGGACGAUGCCAUGGAAGACAGUGCGGCUCGGCAUGAGCUGCUUUGCUUCGAUGUUCAGCUUCUCCAUGGUAUCGUGGUAUAGUAUGUUGAUACUGCUUCCGCCGUCUAUCAGGACGCGGGAAAAUCUGGCAGCUCGCCUCUCCGUCGCGAGGGUGACAUCCAAGACCAUUGCAUAGGAGCCAGGCGAAGGCAUCACCUCUGGGUGGUCGGCCUGGCUCCAGCUGAUUGGCUUCUCUGACCCGUGCAUGAACUCGGGGACGCUGGAGGCGACUGCAUUAACUUCUUGAUGUUGUAUGCGCCGACUGCGCUUGUCGUCGUCUUGACUGGUGAAGACGACGUAGGCGGCGUGCUCUUCGGGGAAUUCGUCUUGGAUGGCGCCGACUGCCGGCCGAGCCGCCGGCUGCUGGGGGGCUGGAGGCGGCGGACCGGGAGGCGGAGGCGGCAACAUCCCCUCGCCCUUGGUGAUGCGGGUGAGCCAAUGGCAUUUCCGGGUUGUGUGGUUGGACGGCUUCGCGCCGCUGUGGAACUUGCAGGGGGCGUCGAGAGCUUGCUCGUAGGAGAAAGACGGCUGCCAAGCCGGCCUGCCACCCUUCUUCUUGGGAGCGGGCCAUUCUUCGGGCUGCUCAUCUUCAACAGUGCCCACCUGCCGACUGGAGGAAGUCGGCAUGGGGGCCUUGCGCUUGUGAUCGUUCUAGUAAGGGCGCCGAUUGGGGUCGCCAGCCGGCGUCUUGGGAGCCGGAGCAAUCACCUUCCCAGAGGCGUCUACUCGCAGCUCGGUCUUCAUUGAGGAGUCGGACGUGGCGUAUUUGUCCGCGGUGAUCAGCAACUCGUCGAGGGUAGCCAGCUCGUCGCAGAGGAGUCGGUGCUUGAGGAGGGUGCCCCCUCGGCACCCGGCAGUGAAGUACUCGAUGGCCUGGACCUUAUGCACCCCCUCGCAGGAGUUACAAAGCUCGGCCCACCGCGUGAGGUAGUCGCGGGUCGACUCGUUGGGCCCUUGGACGCAGAGGGAGAGCUGGCGAGGCUUGGGAGGCCGCUUGUAGGUGCUGGUGAAGUUGCGGACAAAGACUUAUGUGAAGUCCAGCCAACUGUUGAUGCUGUAGGGCUUGAGGCUGUUGAGCCAUGUGCGCGCCGUGCCUUGCAACAUGAGUGGGGCGUACUUCACGGCGACGCGCCGAUUGCCGUUGGCUAUGCUGACGGCCGUGGAGUAGUCGAUGAGCCAAUCUUCCGGCUUCACCGAGCCGUUGUACUUGGGCGUGUCUCUGGGGAGCGAGAACCCUUUGGGGAAGGGCUCGUCGCGGAUGCGAGGGCCAAAGCAUGGCGGGCCGACAUCGUCUUCUUCUUCUAACGCCAAGGAUCGAGCAAGGCGGUCGAUCCGGUGGCGGGCGUCGUUCUCGCCGACCCCUUCUCGGCGGCCGAGUCGGUCGCCAAGAGUCGGGUGUGUGAUAGGCGGCGGAAUGAGGCGUCUUUCUCUUCAAGGCGGGGGAGGAGGCAGAUUUCCUUGGUGCUCUACUGCUCGAGGGCGGCCCUCCGCGUCGCGCUCGAUGGUGAUGUGAGUCCGGCUGCGGUUGGCAGCCGGCUCCUUGUCUUUCUUCUGGCGCGCGCCGCUCGCAGUCGGCGAGUGGGACGUCGCGGCGUGCUCCCGGCGCGGGGGCUGACUAUCAGCUCGGGCGCCGGCUUCGUACCGUUCCACAGCCGCAUCGAUCAGUUGCUGGAUCUGUCUCGUCAUGUAAGGGAGCUCAUCGGCUCCCAGCCCAUUGAGCUCUUCUGCAGCCGCCUGAGCGGCUCGCAGAUUCUCGAGCGGGGUGGCGUAGAUGGGGCGAUCUGCCCCCAGCAUGCUGGCGACGGCCGCGCCGCGCUUCUGGACGAAGCCGGCUCAGCUCGGGCCGCUAGGCGGCGGCGUACCGAAGGUGACGCGGUCGACUUCGCGCUGGUGGGCCUCGGUGAGGUGUCUCAUGGAGGCUAUCUUCUGGCCUUCCGCGAUGAGGGCGAGGCGGCGUGCCUCCAGGGUCUCGGCGUCGGCAUCGGCCGGGAUGGGGACGGAGAGGUCAUGCAUCGCCGCUUGUAGGGCGUCAUGGGCGUUCUCGCCCGAGUUGGCGACGUGGCUAAUGACCAGCACUUCGGUGACAGCGCUGCUCCCGCUGUCAGCUCGAGGGAGGGGAUCGUCGAAGACCACCACGUCGGAGGGGUAACCGUCGAGCGAUGCCGUGUCAGAGUCGACAAGCAUCGGGUCUGUGGAGCCGACCGACUCCAUAUCUGCAACAGGCUCGCUGGAGACGUGAAGCUGGUCGAGGAGGCUGACAAGGAGGCUCUCGGGGUAGUCUGUGCCUGCGUCGGACGCAGGCUCGUCGGAGAUGCGAGUCUCGCCGAGCAGAUCGGCGAGGCAACUCGCUGCGCAGGCGUCGUCAACGCCUUGCAGCGCGUCGAGGCAAACGCCGUCGGGCGCAGCAGGCUGGCUGCGCUCGCGGGGGAGGAAGAGGGUUCCCGUCCAGAACAGGUCUCCGGACGACGGUGCACCUGGCCCCACGGUGGGCGCCAAAUGUCGGGUGGUUGGUGCGAUAGGUGGUUGGUGCGACAUAUGCCAAUGGAUGGCUUAUCAUUGUGGGUGCCAAUAAGACAUCGCCGGUGCCUGGAAACGGGAUGAGGCGAAGACAUGCACGCCGGCGGAUCUUACCCAGGUUCGGGGCUCUCCGAGGAGAUAACACCCCUAGUCCUACUCUGCGGGGUCUCCGGAUGAUCACUAGAUCAAGGAAAGGUAGCUACAAUCGCUCCUAGAGCUGUUGGGUUCAAGGGAGAAGAAGAACAAGGCUAGCUCUUGCUUCUCUCUAUCUCUAUGGUGUGUGUGCUGUGUUCAGAAGCUCUCCCUUUGCAUGGGUGCUCCGGGGGGUUUAUAUAGGCCUACCCCCCGGGGAUACAAUUGUAAUCUGGCUGGGCUCUGGUCCCAGCCGUCAGUGUCUACACUCGUCGGCUUCUCCGCCGGCUGUUGGAGCCCGCCGACUGGUGGGUCCCGCCGGCUGCCGGCCUCUUGGCCGACAGGCCGGCCCCACCGCCUAGGGUCUUGUCGGCGGCUGCUUACUGUAGCCUCGCCUCUGAUGAUGAGGGCUUUGUCGAGGUAAGCGUGGCUACAGUGGGCCGCCUCGGGGGCUCUCACUAUAGCCUUACCUCGUCUUGUCUCCUUAAUGGGGCUCCUGCUUUGAGGAAGGGGGGUAGCCGGCUUCUUGGGGCCGGCUACGCCCUUGGCCGACUGGGGGAGGCCGGGCCGCCUCUGCGCCUCUCUCUAGCGGAAGGGGCCCGCCGCCCGCAGGCCGUACAGGAGUCGGUCGUGGAUGACGUUGAGGCUGGCAUGGCUACAGUGCCGAGCCGAAUAGGAGACGGUCAUCCCGUACGGCCUCCUGUGUCCAUGCCUGCCUCGGGCCUCGGGGGUAGUGGGCCGCACUGUGGCCAUGCCCCGUCUUGUCACCGUUAUGUGGGUGUAGCUUUGGUGGUUGUGGUCUCGGCCGGCUUCUUGGAGUCGGCGCUCUUCGAGGCCGGCUUCCAGGAGUCGGCCACCCCGCGGUUAUCCCGGGGUGGGAGGUUGCUUGAGGCUGGGCCGCCUCCCGUGAGUCGGCUUCAGAGGUAGCCGGCCAGGGAAGGGGGUCCAAUGCUUGGAGUGCUUGAAGGCCCAAAGGCUUGAUAAUUUUUUAGAUGAACCAGGGGCAGUCGGUUAGGCUACCCGUGGCCAUUUCCUCCGACAGUGGAGGAGAGAGAGGCAUUGACAAAGUCAAGGAGUGGGCUCUGCAAGAGCCCGUCUCUACACGUGCUCCUAGGUAUAAACAAAAUAAUUCUAAAAAAUUGCAUAAAAAACAAUUGUGUCUUAAACAAAGAAAGGUAAAAAACAUUCGAGAGGAAAUAGAUAGAGAGAAAGUGAGAAAAAGCUGUAACCUGGGCAUUACAUGAGGAAGGAGGGAGUGGUGCACAUGCCAAGUUCACUGGGCUGCCGUGUUUCACACUCCUCCGUCGUAACAGUGGAGACAAUAGCUUUCAUCAAAAAUAAACAAUGAAUACUCGUUGUUCGUCCUCCAUAUCGGAAAGAAUACUUUCAUUCGCCGACAUGUGGGACGUCGACCAUCCUGGUCCACCUGCCAUGCAUAAAAUUAUCCUGGUCUACCCCGGUCGUAUCGCAGGCCCAACCUUUCCCACUGUAAGUAGUUCGGACGAAGGAACCAUCAUGACUUCAUUGAAUUCCGCUUCUUCAAGAAAACUUACUGUACCCGCAAUACUGCUACCACACGCGAAGACUGGACUGCACUGUACCACGUCAUAUCACUAAAACCCACUAGGCCAAACUAGCCCGCCUAGGUCAUCUAUUUUGGAACAGAGGGAGUACGUCUCUGCACUGCUAUGAUUUUGUGUUGCACGUUCUCUGUACUUUUGCUACGAUUUUCCUACCCUAUGAACCAAAUGAGGCCUGAAUGUAUGUCGACUAUUGUCUGAUCGAUCGCUAAGCCUACAAUUUUAGGAGCUAGGGCUAUUGGUCGAUCGACGAGGGAUAAGUAUAAGCGUACCACGAGCUCAUCAGCCCCAACGUUUCUCUUCGGUGAGUGUUUUGCAAGUACUAUAGCUCGCACAGUAGCUAGCCUACUAAGACCAAGAAUCAUCAAACAAGCCCUGCUGAUAUGAUAAACAGUUCAAACUUACAUCUAAGCAUGCCAUAUAUUACAUCAAAAGCUGGUGAGGAUACAUCUGUUUCCAUAACUCGGAGAGGGUUCGCAUGAUUCACUAUCAAACAAAAGUAGCAAGAUCCGCCCACACAAGACAGUGCACUAGCCGUAAGAUCGUUUGAUAACACGCAUCGUUCUGGUAAUUAAACACAGGGCAAUGCAAACUACCCUGAAGGAUUAGCACGACCAACUAUUUCUUGUCAUCGAUCUCUCGGGCAAUGACCACACAACGGGCAGCGGCAUGGGAAUCGAUUUCUGGGGCGAUGUCCACAGGACUAACCGCGACAUCGAAAUCGAUCUCUCGGGUGAUGUCCACAGGAUGGACAGCGGCAUCAGAAUCGAUCUCCGGGGCAAUGCCAACAGGACGGGCCACGACAUCGGAAUCAUCAAGGACGUCCACCGGCACCUGCACAACCCUAACAUAUUAUCAAGCACAUUGCAAAUAAUCAAAAACCACAACUAUGGUAAUAAGCCAUUAUUUUUUACCUUGUGCAGCUCACCGGGGGAUCUCAUCCCUCCGGGGGCCAUCUCCUCGUCCUCGAUGGGGGCCAUGACCUUGCCAGGGGAAUACUGCUUCUCAACGGCGACUAUCUCCUCAAACUCGGUCUUGAGCCUCACAUAGGUGGCAACCAGAGUUCCUGGGGUCGACACGGUGGGGCCCUUGCUGUUCUUCCAACUUUCUUUGAGGAGUUCGUCCGCCAACGUCCUCAACUCUUUGGCCAGUGCUUGUUUCUUGGAGUUCUUCGUCUCCAUGGGUUGGCCCGCCAACAUGGUCAACUCGUUGGUCGGUGCUCGCUUCCUGGAGAUCGCUGUCUCCAGUGGGUUGUCCGCCGGCAACUCUUUGCCUAGUGCUCCAGGAUCCAUCAAUGAACUGACAAACGAAAAGCAAUCGAAAGGAAACCACAAUCGCAAUGAAAACGGGAAAAGAAUAGGAUGUGAGAAUCGGUCGGUGCUUCGCAAAAAGAAGAUUCUUGGAAUGAAAAUAUAGCAGCAUAACUGAUUCGCCCACCUUUCCUUCGUCGGUACAGAAGAAAAAUGGCAGAAGUGAGUAGCCUGGAGUGAGGUUUUCUUCAAGAAAGGGAAGAAAGGGCUUGAACCAGCAUUCCAGUGAAAUGAUGGUUGCUUCGUCCAGUCCUACUUGGAGGCCACCUUACCACUGCUGGUAAAGGUGUGGGUUUUGUGAUAUGACGGGUUAUGACGGCCACACCGGGGUGACAGGUGAGUCUCGACUGUAGCACCUCUCUGUGAUUUGGUGGAUGGCACGCGGGCCCGGAUGCUUUGAAAUGUCGCGCAUGUAGAUAGAGCGGUAGUCAUAUAGGAGUGCUCAAUAUUGUGCACGGCGACCAAGGCGAAGAGGAAAACAAGACAACUACGUAAUUAAUGCAUGAGUUUAAUUAGGGUAGUUUUGUAAAGUACGAGAUACAUUCCUCCAAUCGCAAAAUGCCUUGUUUCAUGAGAUUUGAGAUUUGAGCCCUAUAAACCGGAAGGGAGGGAGUACUGCACACGGUGUAGUCUAGUCACUUGUUGAAAUCUCUAGAAAGGCAAAUACUCCUUUCCAGUUUACAGGGCUAUACUACUCCCUCCGUUUAGGUGUGUAAGUCAUCUUACGAAAACCAAAUAGUCCCAAAACACUUAGGCGCGGUGCAUUAACUUCUACCUUGUUUCUUGUUUCUUGACAUAUCAACCAAUAAGAGGUGUGCAUGCUUUUAAUGACUUGCAAUGGCUAGUUCAUUGCAUGCAAUGCUAUUAAUUAGCAAAUAAACAUUGGUGACCCCAGGUGGAAACGGUGCUAAGCGUGUGGACCUAUAUGCAGAAUGAGUAUCAACCAAUGGAUAAUGGAGUUUAAUUGUUAAAUAAUAGCAAUUUUGUCUCAUGCAAGAGCCUAGCUAGUACUCCAAGGAACCGCACCACGCGAGCGUUCGCAACUGCCACGUUUAGGUUGCGCUUGGCUCUUCGCCUCUUCGAGAAGACGAACAAUGAUGUUACUCAUGCUUCUACAGUAUCGAAUCCACUACUGCAUGUCCGUCCACCUCGUGCGGGAGGGAUAGCGUGUAGUGAAAGCUUCUACUUACUGCUCCUGCCUUUGCGUCUAUGACAGGUGGGCCCAACAUGUGGUUGGCCCUCCUAUCAUGCAGCCAAAGGCAGGUGCAGUUAAGGCACCGGAGCUCAGUCCGCGAGGGAGAGGGCGUUAUAGUAAUCAAAUUUCUCGGUCUUGUACGAGUUAACGCGACACAUCAAAGCACUCCACUCGAUAUAAGUCUUUUUACACAUUUCAAAUGGGCUACUUCGUAUGUAGGAGUAGACAUAUUCUGCUUCGUAUGUAGUCACUUAUUGCAAUCUCUAAAAAGACUUAUAUUUGGAAACGGAGGGAGUACAACGCAUGCAUGCAUGCCGUGACUUUCCUUUUGAUACUUGCAUGUGUUGAUUUGAUGCACCUUGCCAAAUUUUGACUAUAAAUUUAACUAACCAAAUUUUCAUGCAUGUCACAAAAAAUUACGGGGUUGUUUGGAUUGUGACUAUGUUUGUCUUAUGUUGCCACAUUAUAUUCCCACACUUGCCACACUUGCCUAACCUGAGUUGCUCAAAUUGUUAGACACACUUUGGCUUGCCUAAGGGAAUCUUGCCACAAUUUUUGUGUCUAUAACAUGUGGGGUUCACUGCUAAUAAAAAAUUCUUAUCUUAGGUGUGGCUUAUAAAAAAGACUUAUAUUUAGGAACGGAGGGAGUAGAAAAUAUAAAUAAUAAUGCAUGUUGGGGCAACCCACGUUUCCGCUAAUUUUAGCUGUGGGCUUGUUCACAAUUUUUACGAGGGGGUGGUUGUUCAUUUAAUGGAGGGACUUGUAGUACCCGACUUGAACGAUACAAAGUGCGACCUGGCACACCGUAACACCACUUGGAACAAGCGGGUAGCUAUCUCAAAAAACAAUCAACAACUAAAAAAACUGCGACCUGGCAUGUAGUAGUACACAAUUUUAAACGAUUGUUUUGAUGGAGUGAAAAAGGAAAACUACCCCACUACGUAUAUAUAGGCCGGAGCCUCCGCGAUUGCUUGCUAGGGUUGCUCUAUUCACACACUCUCAUCCUCUCCAGAUCUAAACAAGAUAGGGGUAGUAAGACUGUCUUUCUCCCUUAAAAAACACUGGCUUUCUAUCCUCACUGCUGGUUACAGAUCCGGACGUAUCCCCCUCCGCCGGUGAAGGGGAGGAGGAACAGUGUUUAGGCCGUCGUCGACAGCAAGGGAGGAGACCCACUGUCGGCCGCACCGUUAUCUCUAGCCGAGCGCCGGCGCGGGAGGUCCUCCGAUCCCUUCGUCGUUGCCUGUGGGAGGAUCCGGCCUCCCGCGGCCCACCUAUCCACAUCCCAACGACCUUCAGGUAUAUCUUCGUUCGAAACCGCCAUAGCUCUACUUCCCAAGCUCGCUACGUCGCUGCAUGUGCAUCAUUUUCUACCUCUCAGCCCCUCUCGAUCGGAUGGUCCAAUGUCACAUUUUUUUCUUCUAUUGUUAGAGGUAAAGCUACUUCAUGGAGUCGAAUCUUGUACUCCCUCCGUCCGAAAAUACUUGUCAUUGAAAUGGAUGUAUCUAGACGUAUUUUAGUUCUAGACACAUCCAUUUUGAUGACAAGUAAUUCGAGACGGAGGGAGUACUUGGUUCAAACAAGAAAUAAAGUGGGGGUGGGGGAAUUUAGUAUGUACAUCGGACUUGGUACAAACAGGAAGGAAAGGGGGUGAAAGUAGUACAGACCGGUCAUCCAACCGGUCUCUUGGUCGAAAAGGGAAAUAUAGGGGUAACACUGUACACAGUGGUAUGACCAGGACUAGAUUUGUUAUCCACACAUAGGAGUAGGUGGCUAGAGUGAACAAAAAUGGGACCAACCCAGAUAUGUUUCUUGGAUGUUUGUUUCUCGGGGCAACAAACUAUGAAUCACCACGUUAUGCCCCUGUUUACGUACAUGGUGCUGGACUGCUGGUGCACCCACUGUCCCAUGCCCUUAUACCAAAUAUUUAGGCUCCGUUCGGAAUAAAGGGGCAGAAAACAUAGGUCUUGAUGAAAAUAGAGGAAUAGGAAAGGAAUGUAGGUAUAAAACUAUGGAACAGCGAACCAGAGGAAACUCUCAAGAGAAUGUGUUCGGAUGGACUACGAAAUGUACAGAUUUGUUUUUUUUUAGUAGCAUGCUUGGCAGUAUGAGAUGCUAUUUGUUUAUUUAGCUGCACAGUGACUACUCUUGUCCUCACCUCACGUACCACACAUAGGUUGAUUUUUUUAUUCUAGCAACACAGCACAGCAACCUGUCUAACACAUGGCAGCGAGGGCCUGCCUUGGGCUUCUGCCCAAAAAAUGAGCAGCGCGUGGAUGUUUCUAAUCCUAUGGAAUCAGUACUACCAGACCAGCUUUCCUAUGAAACACUAUUCACCUUUCCCGUGUUCCAAACGGUUGGAAGGGAAAGAAUACCGUAGGAAUUAUGUUCCUAUGAAAAUCCUGCACCAAACCUGUGAACCGAACGCAGCCUUAGUUGUUCUUAAUCUAAUGUCCCUGGUAAAAAUGAAGUCAUGCCACUGUUAUAAGCCAUGAAAAGUUUAACCAAAUGUUUUUGCCUGUAAUUGUUUGAGACUCUGACUGUUUCCUCUGUUCCUUUUUGUGCAAACAGGGAUAUCCAAUUCACCUGGUUGCUGUUGUGACCUUUUGGUGCACUGCACAAAACUCUUCUUAAAAGAAGUGACUUUUGUGCUAUUUAACUGGAAUGUCAGAAUGGAACAGUUGGUUCAUUUUGGUGGAACUGCAAAAAGGGAGAUCUGUGUUCCAAUCCUCAUCAUCCAUAUUGGCGCCAUAACCUUCCUUUAGGUAAGAAUGAUAUUUAAUGCAUCUGUUCAUCUCUAUUUUCCGACUGCCAUGAGAAAAUAAUGCUGUUUUUGACUAGUACACUUGUACUCCCUCACUGACAAAACCAAUUUUGAAUUAGAAGGCCAAUCAUGUACUUUGUUUCACCAACUGGUGAGGAGAAAGAGAAACAGAGCAUGAAGAGGAAGAAGAAGAAGAAUAAACAGUGCCAAGGCGAUCUUGCUGAAGCCAGAGGCCUUAGUCGAGGCCAUUCAAGGGCUCCGGCAACGACUACCUUACAUGUGAGACGAUCCUCCAGGGAGCCCUUCCACUUCUGCGGUCUCACUUAAUUAAUUAGGAGUACUUAAGUACCACUAAUUUAUUACUGCCUAAUUUUCCCGUUGGAGUUAAACAAAUCUUUAGUAGGACCCUAUGUUGAAUCAUGUACGUGUGUAUGUUUGUCUAUGGAGGUGAAUCAUGUGGUGGAUCAGGGAGGGAAUAUUAUUAGUGUCAUGACAUAAUAGUGCUAUUCUUUUGCAUGUCAAUUUAUUGCCAUUGGUUCAAUGAGGCAAUGUUUUGCGUAUUGUCCAUCAUGAAUUUGAUGCUACUGUUUGAGUAAUAUGCUAAUGUCUUCCUAUCCUUUCUCACUAAGCAAAUGAAGGUUUCACCUUGUUCCUACUUGUGCAAACAGGGAUCAUGUUGUGCCAAUCAUACAUUUUAGUGGAACUACACAAGACAAUACAAUGAACUGUAUCCCAGCUAGUGCUUUAACUCUGCUGGAAGUUCUUGAUAAUCUUUCGAUAUAAUCUUAGCACUGGUAAACAAGAGUGAUUUCAACCAUACAUUUGAAGUGCACAAAAAUAUAUACUAUUGUGUGAUUCCAGUGAGUGCUUUAUCAUCCCUUAUGGGACUACAGGAAUAAGCUUUUUUUCUCAGGUUGGUACGGGCCUAAGGCCUUCAUCCAUAUUAGUUUGCUGUCACCUCUAUUUGUAUCGUGCUACUGUCAUGAGAAACUCCUUUAUUUUUGCACGUUAAAGUUUUGCAACCUAUGAUAAAUGGCAAUGCUUUGAGUGUUGAGUUGAGCUAAUUGGCACUGAUUAAAUAAACUAAUAUCUCUCUUUAAGGAAGACUACUAUCUUGCUAACUUUACCCAUUAAGAUAAUGAGGGUGCUUCUACUUGUUAGUGUAUGUUUCAUCAACUAGUCCCACUAUUACAGUAAUAUCACUCUCUCAAUAUAUGUCCCAACAGGGAUGCUCGAUUUUGGUGGAACUGCGCAAAAACUUUGCGUGCUUCAUUGCCUCGACAGCUUCCGUCCUUUCCUGUCAGUCACUAAUCUCCGCUUGCUUUCUUCCUUUGCUGUCAGUCGCUUGGCUUAUCUCGGCUUCCAGUCAAAGGAAAUAGUAAUUGAUAUGCUACCUCACACAGGUUGGUACUGGUCUUUAUCCUGAUUAUUGUGCCUGUCAUAUGUAUUGGUAAUUUGGUAUUGUGCUACUGUUUGCCGAUUUCAUAAAGGAGUAAUUUGGAGCCUGAACUCGCAGGCAAAUCAUUACAUCGGGUGAUUUCAGUAGAACUGCACAAAAUGAUCAGAUGGACAGGUACUUAUGUUGCUGCUAUGUACUCCAAAGUUCACUCAGACAAGCAUCGAUGUUGACAAGAAGUGCCUAUAUUCAUUCGAGUAUCAACCGGCGUCAACCAAUUGUCAAACUCCAAGUAUUAGGAGAGUGAACGCCAAAAAUAUUGCUUGGUGCAUAGCCCAGAAAAACGCAGUCCAGUCUUUGGUCCCAACUUGUGCCUUUUGGUUAUCGGCACAUAUGGUAGCGGACUAUAUGGCAUGGAGUCUAAAGAUUCCAGAAAAGUUGGUUGACGCGUAUAUUCAUCUGGCACCUAAUCAGUCUGCACGCCAAGGAUGCUCCAUUUCAGUUGAACUGCACAAAAAAUUUGGGUGGUUCAUUUUCUCAACCGCCUCCUUUCUCGUCUGCAAUGUAGAAUUUUGGCGAGAUACAGGACCAAGAUGAGCCAGUAAACUAGUUGGAUGAAAGUAGUGGCCAAGUUGCUCAAACCUCCCUCGGCACGAGGCCACUAUUUGAGGAUAAACCUACAAGCAAAGUUCAGAUUGUCUGUGCUGCCUCUUAUGUACUCGAAAGUUUACUCGUACAAGAACUAAUUUUAGCAAGAAGUACCUGCGAUUGAACACCAUUUACCAGUCUAUACCCUAGGUAAUUAAAGUUCGUCCAUGGAUCAUAUUGGUUGUGAUCUCAAUCAUUUGGAUGCAUAAACAUACUGAACAUGUGUAUAUCUGAAUCUUUUUGUGAAUAUGUAUGAAUAUUGUCGUGUGAUCUAUCAAUCAUUUGGAUGCAUAGAUAUGCUGAGCUUGUGUAUAUAUGAAUCUUUUUGAGUUGUUGAUAGUGAAUGUUGGCUAUGAAUAUGAACGUGUCCUGUGAACCUGAGUUUGAUAUGAAUGUUUACCUUUUCUGUUGUAUUUGUGUGUGAACUUGUUAGUAUGCCUACUGUGGGGUAUAAAAUGUAGGUCUCUUAUAAAAGUAAUGCUGUGUCCAAUUUAUGUUUUCCCUUCUAACCCCAUUAUAUAUAUUUAUAUUAUUACUAUUAUUGUAUAUUUUAUAGAGACUUAUAUAUACAUUAUAAAAACAUCCCACGUGUUAUUAACUUAUAAAAGUAAAUGUUUAACGGAAGUUGGCAAGGAAAAUCCUGGUUGUUUUUGACUCACAGGCAAGGAAAAUCCUGGUGAUUGCGUACAAAAGCUUGCGAAGAUUUUAAGGACCAAUUUAAUAAUAACGCGCUCAUUUUUAUUUUGAGCAAUAACUCACUAAUUUCUUAAUUCUAUAUAUAUAAUGUGCCUCUCCGGUUUAUUCUUUGAUAUUAAUUGCUCCCUCUAACAUAACAUUAUAUAUAUAACGAGCCCACCUAAUAAGUGUAUUUCAAGGAAGUGCAAAUGGGCUGGGAUUUCUUAGAAAAUAUAAAUGGGCCUGAUUGACGCAAAAUUAUUUGUUCACCCAGCCCAGCAAAUGGACUGUACAUUCUAGAAAACAUGGGUUAAAUAUAUGCCACAUUUUUGCAGGCUGACAUGUGGGCCAAUAGGUUGAAGCCUACGCAAGGUGUUGUCAACUUGGUCAACAAAUGAUUGUGUUAUCCACAGCCAUUGGAUUUAUAUCCAACGGCCGGCAUGCACCUUCAAUCUCUCGUCUUCUUCCUCCAGCGUCGCCGGGACCGCCUGGUCCGGCCUCCGGCGGCUAGCGGCUCUGCUUAGACGCAUCGCUGCGAAGCGCUACCCCACCGCUGGCCAGGCUAUCCCUCCACCCCUCGACACCUCCUGUUAUUCUCCACAGACUACAGCCCCACGCUGCAACAGAACCAGUUAUAACCCUUCUCCUCCUCUCAAUCUACGACUCCACUGCCGCGUUUUCCCAUCUCCGAGUCGUUCCCGUCCGGGGCCUCGCCGUCGUCCAUCGCCUUGCUGCGUUCGGUGCGGCGUGGUCGACAAACGAGAGUCAUCGGAAGAGGACUGUACGUGGAGAGCCUGACGGCUGGGACCCACGAGGUCCAUGGUCGCACGCAAGGAAAGUUCCUCCUUAUUAAGCUGAAAAAAAUGUUUCCUCCACCUGACAGCUAGGACCCACCGGCUGUAUCUUCGCACGGAAGGAAGUGCCUCCUUGUUUUGCGAAAAAAAUUAUUCAUCCCGUUGACAGCUGGGACCCGUCAGAUUUGGUGACUGACUUGUGGGCCUACUAAGCGGACGUGUACGCACGGCUUUGUCAACUUAAUCAACAAAUGAUUCUAGCAGCUGGACCGUUUGAUGUUAAUCCAACAGCCGUGCUCCUUCUUCAACCUCUGUUCUUGCUCCUGUCUCCCGUGGGCGGCACCGCGGCUGUGCUGCCGCGCACCCGAACCAGUGAAGUUUCCCACUCCUCUCCAUCUAUGACUCCACUGCCCCGUCUUCCCCAUCUCCGGGUCGUUCCAGUCUGGGUGCACUCGGCACAGUGUGAUCAAUGUGGUCAACAACCGAGAGUCAUCGGAAGAUGACUGUACGUGAGAGGCUGACAGUGGGGACGCACCACGCCCAUUGACGCAUGCAUGCAACGGAACGCGGCAAGGUCAAUGUGGUCAGGGAACGACUUCCAUCGGAAGAAUACUGUACGUCGAGAGUCUCAGCUGGGUCCACGGCCGCAGCAAGUAAGUGCCUCCUUAUUACGCGGAAAAUAAUGAUUCCUCCAACUGACAGCAGGGACCCACUGGACGGGCCACCGUAUUUUGCGAAAAAAACGUUUGCCCCCUGACUGCUGGGACCCACCUGACGGGCCACCGUAUAUCACGAAAAAAAACGUUCGCCCUGCUGUCAGCUCGGACCCACCGGAAGUGCCUCCUUAUUACGCACAAAAAAAUGAAUACUCCCCGGCUAGCUGGGACCCACCUUGGUGGGAGGCUGACUUGUGGGCCUACUAAGUUGACGGGGACGAAGGGCUUUGUCAACUUAGUCAAUAUGAACGAUUCUAGCUCCAGUGACCGUACGAUGUCCAUCCAACAGCCGUAGUGCUUCUUCAACCUCUGGUCUUCUUGCUCCAGCCGCCCAAAGCAGCGCCGGUCGUGCCGCAUGCUCCUGCCUCCCGUGGCUGGCUGUGGUGCCGCGGAGGCCUCACCGCCCCCUACUAUUCCCACCGCUAGCCAGGCCCUGCGGCGACGGCAGCCUCACACCGCAGCCGAACCAGUGAACCCUCGUACUCCUCUCCGCGCGGGCUUCCACUGCUGCAUCUUCCCCGGCUCCGCGUCGUCCCCUUCCUAGGCCUCGCCGUCGUCCACCGCCGUGGUGCUCUCCGCGUGGCGUGGUCAACGUGGUCAAGGAACGACUUCCAUCGGAAGAGCACUGUACGUGGAGAGGCUGACAGCUGGGUCCACGGCCACAGCCCAGUUUUUUUGUGAUUUGCCAAGUAAGUCGCUUUGUCAGGCAUGUUGCGCUGCAAAUCUUUCAAGACGAGGAGAGCUUUCAUUCGGCUGGCCGAGAAAAUGGCCCAUCAGUAAUGAGAAAUGGGCUGUACACUUUUAAAACACAUCAAACUGGCAAUUAGUUUCAAAUAUCUUUUUUUAUUUCGAGAUUUUAAAUUACAUUAAUUUUUAUGCGAGGAGAAUUUGUUGGAUUUUAUAUUGAUAUACAUUUGUUUUUAAAAUCAGUUUGAAUGUGAGUUGAAAUUUCGGGAUUAAAAACAGUUCGGACCGCAUCGAAAUAUGAAAAAUUUCGUAUAUUUUUUUAACCGUGGCCACAAUAUGGUUGUAAUGCUAACAAAAAGAAUAUGGGCUCCAAAAAAACCUUAAUAAUUAGCAAAUGGGCUGUAAAUUAUUAGAAAUAAUGGCAGAUGGGUUGUAUGCUAUUUUCCACAGAUUUGAGGCUUUGCUAAAAAAAGGUUGACACACAAGCAGUGACUCUUGGAUGGCCAUCCAACGGCCGUCGUGCUUCUUCAAUCUCUGCUCUUCCUGCUUCAGCCGCUCAAACAAGCGCCGGCGGGAUUGCCUCCUCCCUCCUCCCCGCGGCCGGCUCUGCUGCCACGCAGGCCUCACCGCCCCACCAUACUCCCAUCGCUGGCCUAGCCAUCCCUCUACUCACCCACACCUGCUGUUAUUCUCCGGCGACGGCAGACGAACCAGUAAACCCUCGUACAAUCGUACUCCCCUCUGCGUGGGAAACAACUGCCGAGUCUUCCCUGCCUCCGUGUUGUUCCCUUCCUAGGCCUCGCCGUCGUCCACCGCCCUGGUGCUCUCGGCGCGGCCUGGUCAACGUGGUCAACGACCGACAUGCAUCUGAAGUGGACUGUACGUGGAGAGGCCGACAUCUGGGUCCAUGGCGGCACGCAAGGAAAUGCCUCCUUAUUACGUGCAAAAUAAUGAUUCCUCCACCUGACAUCAGGGACCCACCGAAAGGGCCUCUGUAUUUCGCGAAAAAACGUUACUGCCGCUGACAGCUCGGACCCACCAGCUAUAUCUUCGCAGGCAAGGAAGUGCCUCCUAAUUACGCACAAAAAAAUGAAUACUCCCCCUGUUAGCUGGGACCCGGUAUAGUGGCAGGCUGACUUGUGGGCCUACUAAGUUGACGGGGACGGAGGGCUUUGUCAACUUAGUCAAUAUGCACAAUUCUAGCUCCAGUGACCGUACGAUGUCCAUCCAACGGCCGUAGUGCUUCUUCAACCUCUGGUCUUCUUGCUCCAGCCGCCCAAACCAGCGCCGGUCGUGCCUCGUGCUCCUGCCUCUCGUGGCUGGAUGCGAUGCGGCGGAGGCCUCACCGCCCCCUACUACUCCCACCGCUGGCCAGGCCAUCCCUCUACUCACCCACACCCCCUGUUAUUCUGCGGCGAUGGCAGCCUCACACCGCACCGAACCAGUGAACCCUCGUACUCCUCAACGCGUGGGCAUCCACUGCCACGUCUUCCCCGGCUCCAUGUCGUCCCCUUCCUAGGCCUCGCCGUCGUCCACCGCCCUGGUGCUCUCGGCGCGGCGUGGUCAACGUGGUCAAGGAACGGCUUCCAUCGGACGUGGACUGUACGUGGAGAGGCUGACAGCUGGGUCCAUGGCCGCAGCAAGUGCCUCCUUAUUACGCGCAAAAUAAUUAUUCCUCCAUCUGACAGCGGGGACCCACCGGAUGGGCCACCGUAUUUUGCAAAAAAAACGUUUGCCCCUGACUGCUGGGACCCCCCGGCUACAUCUUCGCACGCAAGGAAGUGCGUCCGGGCAAAAAAAACGAUUCGCCCCCCUGACAGCUGGGACCCACCAGCUACAUCUUCGCAGGCAAGGAAGUGCCUGACAGUCGAGACCCACCUGUUCGAAGCGUAAGUAGCGUUGUCAUUCUGGUCGUGAACGUGUACGUACAUAUAUACUGGUGGAUGUAGUGGUGCGCACGUGUCGUAGUAGAGGCGCGUACGUGUCGUAGUAGAGGCGCGCACGUAGCAUGUACACGUACGUACAGCGGCCAGGGUGCAAGAAAGAAAAUACGGCCACGUAUGUGUACAUACGGGCGGGGUCUCGAACGCCUACUCGCGCAUACGUACGACCAGGGCUCGUGUACAUGGCUGGGUCAAAACGGAGAAACAGCGUCAUGGCAACAGAAUGCAACGGAGAAACGGAGAAACAGCGGCCACCUGUUCAUGGGGAGGCAACGGAAUGCGUCGUGUUCAUGGGGAGGCAACGGAAUGCGUCGUGUUCAUCGGGAGGCAACGGAACGCGUGGGAGCCAACCGGCUGGGUCGGAACGGAAUGCGUGGUCGUGUUCAUCGAGAGGGCUUGGACAGAACAGGCGAUGGAAACGAGGCCUGGCGUACCGCACAACGGAGGAAACGGACCUCCUACGUUCGGAACGGGGUCCUGUUGAUCGGGAGGGGUCUGGCGUACCGCAAAACGGAGGAAACGGACCUCCUACGGUCGAAACGGGGGUCCUGUUGAUCGGGAGGGGUGUGGCGUACCGCAAAACNNNNNNNNNNNNNNNNNNNNNNNNNNNNNNNNNNNNNNNNNNNNNNNNNNNNNNNNNNNNNNNNNNNNNNNNNNNNNNNNNNNNNNNNNNNNNNNNNNNNNNNNNNNNNNNNNNNNNNNNNNNNNNNNNNNNNNNNNNNNNNNNNNNNNNNNNNNNNNNNNNNNNNNNNNNNNNNNNNNNNNNNNNNNNNNNNNNNNNNNNNNNNNNNNNNNNNNNNNNNNNNNNNNNNNNNNNNNNNNNNNNNNNNNNNNNNNNNNNNNNNNNNNNNNNNNNNNNNNNNNNNNNNNNNNNNNNNNNNNNNNNNNNNNNNNNNNNNNNNNNNNNNNNNNNNNNNNNNNNNNNNNNNNNNNNNNNNNNNNNNNNNNNNNNNNNNNNNNNNNNNNNNNNNNNNNNNNNNNNNNNNNNNNNNNNNNNNNNNNNNNNNNNNNNNNNNNNNNNNNNNNNNNNNNNNNNNNNNNNNNNNNNNNNNNNNNNNNNNNNNNNNNNNNNNNNNNNNNNNNNNNNNNNNNNNNNNNNNNNNNNNNNNNNNNNNNNNNNNNNNNNNNNNNNNNNNNNNNNNNNNNNNNNNNNNNNNNNNNNNNNNNNNNNNNNNNNNNNNNNNNNNNNNNNNNNNNNNNNNNNNNNNNNNNNNNNNNNNNNNNNNNNNNNNNNNNNNNNNNNNNNNNNNNNNNNNNNNNNNNNNNNNNNNNNNNNNNNNNNNNNNNNNNNNNNNNNNNNNNNNNNNNNNNNNNNNNNNNNNNNNNNNNNNNNNNNNNNNNNNNNNNNNNNNNNNNNNNNNNNNNNNNNNNNNNNNNNNNNNNNNNNNNNNNNNNGAAGGAAUCGCUCGAUCGGGUUCAGUUAACAGCCAUCGAUCGAUCGCUCGGGUUCAGUAACGCGUAGCCUGCAGUGCAAUCGCUCGGGUUCAGUUAGAGCCCAACGCCUUGCUCGGGUUCAGUUAGAGCCAACGCCUCGCACACACGCGCGUACGUGUACGAGAGAAACAUGCAUCGCUCGGUCCUCGACCUCCCACCAUAACCGGGAACUCCUCGAAAUUUUCCUCGCCUCGCUUCUACCACGGUUUUUUCCGUCAUGGACGGCCCAAAUAAUGUCAUGCAGCUGCGUCUCCAGCCCGCCCAGGACAAAAAGCCCAUUUUCUGUCAUGAUUUUUUGUCAUAGAAGUAGGAGCCCACCACAUCUAUGAUGAUACCGGGUUCUGUCACAAUUAUCGUCAUAGAUGUGUCAUAUGUAUGACAGAAAAAAAAUUCGUUCUGCCCAAAAUGUCACAGAUGUGUCUUUUUUUUGUAGUGGUACCGUGCGUUCGGUACUUGAUCGGUUGGGUCGCGAAGACGUUUGACUACAUCAACCGCGUUACUUAACGCUUCCGCUUUCGGUCUACGAGGGUACGUGGACACACUCUCCCGCUCGUUGCUAUGCAUCACAUCGAUAGAUCUUGCGUCAUCGUAGGUAAAAUUUUGAAAAUAUUGCGGUCCCCAACAUUUUUUUCAUAUAUGUCUUAAUUUUUUAUUUUGGUUGUUAGUAGAUAUCGAUUUUAGGUUAGUGCAUUUUAGGUUAGUGGAGAGGAAAAAGGAAAAUAAGGAAAAAGAAGAAAAGAGGAAGAAGGAAGAAGAAGAAAAAGAUGGAGAGGAAAAAGGAAAAUAAGAAGAGGAAGAAGGAGGAGAAGAAGGAGAAGACGAGGAGAGGAAGAAGAGGAGAGUGCUACCUCUUGAGCACUGCGUUGGUUUUCCCUUGAAGAGGAAAGGGUGAUGCAGCAAAGUAGCGUAAGUAUUUCCCUCAGUUUUUGACAACCAAGGUAUCAAUCCAGUAGGAGGCCACGGACGAGUCCCUCGCACCUACACAGACAAAUAAAUCCUCGCAACCAACGCAAUAAAGGGGUUGUCAAUCCCUUCACGGUCACCUACGAGAGUGAGAUCUGAUAGAUAGGAUAAGAUAAUAUUUUUGGUAUUUUUAUGAUAAAGAUGCAAAGUAAAGAAAGCAAAAUAAAGACGGCGCUAGAAAUAGCUUGUUGCCGGGAGAUUAAUAUGAUAGAAAAUAGACCCGGGGGCCAUAGGUUUCACUAGUGGCUUCUCUCAAGAGCAUAAGUAUUAUGAUGGGUGAACAAAUUACUGUUGAGCAAUUGAUAGAAUUGAGCAUAGUUAUGAGAAUAGCUAGGUAUGAUCAUGUAUAUAGGCAUCACGUCUGAGACAAGUAGACCGACUCCUGCCUGCAUCUACUACUAUUACUCCACACAUCGACCGCUAUCCAGCAUGCAUCUAGAGUAUUAAGUUCAUAAGAACAGAGUAAUGAUUUAAGAAAGAUGACAUGAUGUAGAGGGAUAAAUUCAUGCAAUAUGAUAUAAACCCCAUCUUGUUAUCCUCGAUUGCAACAAUACAAUACGUGCCUUGAUGCCCCUACUGUCACUGGGAAAGGACGCCGCAAGAUUGAACCCAAAGCUAAGCACUUCUCCCAUUGCAAGAAAGAUCAAUCUAGUAGGCCAAACCAAACUGAUAAUUCGAAGAGACUUGCAAAGAUAACCAAUCAUACAUAAAAGAAUUCAGAGAAGAUUCAAAUAUUGUUCAUAGAUAAACUUGAUCAUAAACCCACAAUUCAUCGGUCUCAACAAACACACCGCAAAAGAAGAUUACAUCGAAUAGAUCUCCACAAGAGAGGGGGAGAACAUUGUAUUGAGAUCCAAAAAGAGAGAAGAAGCCAUCUAGCUAAUAACUAUGGACCCGAAGGUCUGAGGUAAACUACUCACACAUCAUCGGAGAGGCUAUGGUGUUGAUGUAGACGCCCUCCAUGAUCGAUGCCCCCUCCGGCGGAGCUCCGGAAAAGGCCCCAAGAUGGGAUCUCACGGGUACAGAAGGUUGCGGCUGUGGAAUUAGGUUUUUGGCUCCGUAUCUGAUCGUUUGGGGGUACGUAGGUAUAUAUAGGACGAACAAGUACGUCGGUGGAGCAACGUGGGCCCACGAGGGUGGAGGGCGCACCACCCUACCUCGUGCCUGCCUGGUAGCUUUCUUGGCAUAGGGUCCAAGUCCUCUGUAUCACGUUCGUUCCGAAAAUCACGUUCCCGAAGGUUUCAUUCCGUUUGGACUCCGUUUGAUAUUCUUUUUCUGCGAAACUCUGAAAUAGGCAAAAAACAGCAAUUCUGGGCUGGGCCUCCGGUUAAUAGGUUAGUCCCAAAAAUAAUAUAAAAGUGUAUAAUAAGGCCCAAUAAUGUCCAAAACAGAAUAUAAUAUAGCAUGAAGAAAUCAAAAAUUAUAGAUACGUUGCAGACGUAUCAGAGAGAAAAAAUAAGAAGGGGAAGAAGAAGAAAAAAGAAAAGAAGAAGAAGAAGAAGGAAUAGAGAAGAAGAAGAAAAAAUAGAAUACUAUUAUUCUGUUUUUUCUUCUUCUCCUCUAUUCCUUCUUUUUCUCCUCUUUUUUCUUCUUCUAUUUUUUCUUCUUCUCCUCUAUUCCUUCUUCUUCUCCUUUUUUUAUCUUCUUCUUCUUCCUCUUCUUAUUUUUUAUCAGGAACGAGGGUGUCGAGGAUCGUCGUGCAGUCGAGGGUCGGGAACUAGGGUAGAGGGUCGAGGGUCACCGAGGGGUCGAGGUUCGAGGAUCACCGAGGGGUCGAGGAUCGAGGAUCGCCAAGGGGUCGAGGGUCGAGGGUCAUCGUGGGGUCGAGGGUCGAGGAUCUCCGAGGGGUCAAGGGUCGAGGNNNNNNNNNNNNNNNNNNNNNNNNNNNNNNNNNNNNNNNNNNNNNNNNNNNNNNNNNNNNNNNNNNNNNNNNNNNNNNNNNNNNNNNNNNNNNNNNNNNNNNNNNNNNNNNNNNNNNNNNNNNNNNNNNNNNNNNNNNNNNNNNNNNNNNNNNNNNNNNNNNNNNNNNNNNNNNNNNNNNNNNNNNNNNNNNNNNNNNNNNNNNNNNNNNNNNNNNNNNNNNNNNNNNNNNNNNNNNNNNNNNNNNNNNNNNNNNNNNNNNNNNNGGGUCGAGGGUCGUCAGGGGUCCAGAGUCAUCGAGGGGUCGAGGGUCGAGAUUUAUCAAGAAUGCCCCCAUUAUGGAUGUGCACAAGUUGAUCCAAUUUUUUUUCUGAUCUCAUCUAUAUAUAUAUAUAUAUAUAUAUAUAUCAUGAAUUUUAGCAAAGGCCUUCAAAAUAGCGAUAUUCAGAAGGCUCUUGCUGAACUUUUUACCAAAAAGCAAAUUAUUCUAUCGGGAACUCCGUUCCAAAAUAACUUUGAAGAGCUUCGUACCAUUAUGCGCCUGUCAUUUCCGGCUAAUGAUGAAUUCAUGGUUUUCUUGAAUCCUUUUACACUAGACAACAUGACAUAUAGAAGGUUAGAUGAGAUCAGGAAAAAUAUGGACCAUUUUCUGCAUAUCCAGAAUGGCGCCAUUUUGUUAAAUCCCUUGUUUGACAUUCAUGAGAGAGGCGGUCCGACGUCGGACAUUCAUGCGAGAACUCGGUAACUCUUCAACACGAGGGGGGACGUCGAUCAACCCCCUCUCGCCCAACCAAAAUAAGGAACAAGAAGAAAAGAGGAAGAAGGAAGAAGGAAGAAGGAAGAAGAAGAAAAAGAAGCAUACAUCAUCUUUGCAAUGAUUUUCAUAGCAUUUUGUGUGAUUUUCUUUUGAGAAACAUGCCUACUUAAUUAUGUUUCUGCCAUGUCCAAUAAAUUCCACUAAGUCCAUGGCGCCUAAGAAGAGGCCGUCUGCAAGAGCUUUUCGCCGUGCUCAAGAGCGAUGGGAGGAGACUGUCAGCAAGUUCCGAAGGGAGAUGCGGAGAAAAGGGCGGACGUAGAGGAGAUCUGCAAUAGGUUUCCCAGCUUGCAGAUGUGCGUCAACCACGCUAGGGACCUCAUCGCCGUGUCUACGGAUGAUGAGAAGAAGACUAUGUUCCCCGGCGGCCGUGGAAUUCCUCAUGUCGAUGUUUUCCUUUGUGCUAUGAAUGAAGCGGAGAACUCACCAGAUCCGCGUCAGCGUGCUAGGUGGUACGAGUACCGCUCCCGCCAUCACGCCCCUCCAGCUCCAGUGGAAUGUCUCAUUGGCGUCAUGGUCGCUGUACCAGCUGCAGCGGAGCAUGUGAUUGUCCACUCUAACAGCAAGGGAGAGAGCAGUGAAGAUGAGGAGGAGGAGGAGGAGGAGGAGGAGGAGGGGGGGAUGAGGAGGAGGAGGAUGAGGAGGAGGAGGAGGAAGAGUCCAGCGAGGGGGACAAUGAGCCAGGUGCGGACGUGGUGGGGGAGGUGGAGGACGACAGCAAGAAGGAGCGGAUGGUGGUGGAGGUGGAGGAGGAUCAGCGAGGGGGAGGGGAAGGUGGCGCAACAGCUGCAGCUGCCUACCAACGACGACCUGUACAUGGUGGCGCUGGGGAUCCCGCAGCUCGGUGACAGUAGGAUGCCAAUCGAGGUGGAGACCUACGUCCGCAUCGGCAUUCGCCACUCUGACCGCAUCAAGAAGAUGAAGGAGAUGCAGAAAUGAAGAAAUGCAGAGUGUCAGUUAGUUAAGUGUAAGUGUUUAAAUUGAGUAUGCUUUUGCAGACAAUGUUUAAGUUAAGUUAUGUACUGCAGAACUCCAUGUGAUGUACUGAAGCAAUGCUUGCCUUUUGCAGUCUGUUAAGUUAAGUCAGAUGGUUGCCUCUUGCUGUUAAGCAAUGAGAUGUUUAAGCAGAAAUGUUUUCCUCUCUGUUGCAUUCCACAAAAUGAUGAGUGGAGAACCCAGGCCUAUGAGAAUGCCAAACUGUUUAAAGAAAAAGUUAAAAGAUGGCAUGACAAAAGGGUACAAAAGCGUGAGUUUAAUGUAGGUGAUUAUGUUUUCUUAUAUGCUACCUCUUGAGCACUGCGUUGGUUUUCCCAUGAAGAGGAAAGGGUGAUGCAGCAAAGUAGCGUAAGUAUUUCCCUCAGUUUUUGAGAACCAAGGUAUCAAUCCAGUAGGAGGCUACACACGAGUCCCUCGCACCUACACAAACAAAUAAAUCCUCGCAACCAACGCGAUAAGGGGUUGUUAAUCCCUACACGGUCACUUACGAGAGUGAGAUCUGAUAGAUAUGAUAAGAUAAUAUUUUUGGUAUUUUUAUGAUAAAGAUGCAAAGUAAAAUAAAAGGCAACGAAAAUAACUAAGUGUUGGAAGAUUAAUAUGAUGGAAAAUAGACCCGGGGGCCAUAGGUUUCACUAGUGGCUUCUCUUGAGAGCAUAAGUAUUUACGGUGGGUGAACAAAUUACUGUUGAGUAAUUAACAGAAUUGAGCAUAGUUAUGAGAAUAUCUAGGCAUGAUCAUGUAUAUAGGCAUCACGUCCGAAACAAGUAGACCGACUCCUGCCUGCAUCUACUACUAUUACUCUACACAUCAACCGCUAUCCAGCAUGCAUCUAGAGUAUUAAGUUCAUAAGAACAGAGUAACGCUUUAAGCAAGAUGACAUGAUGUAGAGGGAUAAACUCAUGCAAUAUGAUAUAAACCCCAUCUUGUUAUCCUCGAUGGCAACAAUACAAUACGUGCCUUGCGGCCCUACUGUCACUGGGAAAGGACACCGCAAGAUUGAACCCAAAGCUAAGCACUUCUCCCAUUGCAAGAAAGAUCAAUCUAGUAGGCCAAACCAAACUGAUAAUUCGAAGAGACUUGCAAAGAUAACCAAUCAUACAUAAAAGAAUUCAGAAGAUUCAAAUAUUGUUCAUAGAUAAACUUCAUCGUAAACCCACAAUUCAUCGGUCUCAACAAACACACCGCAAAAGAAGAUUACAUCAAAUAGAUCUCCACAAGAGAGGGGGAGAACAUUGUAUUGAGAUCCAAAAAGAGACAGGAAGCCAUCUAGCUAAUAACUAUGGACCCGAAGGUCUGAGGUAAACUACUCACACUUCAUCGGAGAGGCUAUGGUGUUGAUGUAGAAGCCCUCUGUGAUCGAUGCCCCCUCCGGCGGAGCUCCGGAACCGGCCCCAAGAUGGGAUCUCACGGGUACAGAAGGUUGCGGCGGUGGAAUUAGGUUUUUGGCUCCAUAUCUGGUAGUUUGGGGGUACGUAGGUAUAUAUAUAGGAGGAAAGAGUACGUCGGUGGAGCAACGUGGGGCCCACGAGGGUGGAGGGCGCGCCCAGGGGGUAGGCGCACCCCCCUACCUCGUGGCUUCCUGGUAGCUUUCUUGACGUAGGGUCCAAGUCCUCUGGAUCACGUUCGUUCCGAAAAUCACGUUCCCGAAGGUUUCAUUCCGUUUGGACUCCGUUUGAUAUUCUUUUUCUGCAGAACUCUAAAAUAGGCAAAAAAACCAGCAAUUCUGGGCUGGGCCUCCGGUUAAUAGGUUAGUCCCAAAAAUAUUAUAAAAGUGUAUAAUAAAGCCCAAUAAUGUCCAAAACAGAAGAUAAUAUAGCAUGGAGCAAUCAAAAAUUAUAGAUACGUUGGAGACGUAUCAAGCAUCCCCAAGCUUAAUUCCUGCUCGUCCUCGAGUAGGUAAAUGAUAAAAACCGAAUUUUUGAUGUGGAAUGCUACUUGGCAUAAUUUCAAUGUAAUUCUUCUUAAUUGUGGUAUGAAUAUUCAGAUCCGAAAGAUUCGAGAUAAAAGUUCAAUAUUGACAUAAAAAUAAUAAUACUUCAAGCAUACUAACUACGCAAUUAUGUCCUCUCAAGAUAACAUGGCCAAAGAAAGUUCAUGCCUACAAAAUCAUAUAGUUUAGUCAUGCUCCAUUUUCGUCACACGAGAAUGCUCUCAUCAUGCAUAACCCCGAUGACAAGCCAAGCAAUUGUUUCAUACUUUAGUAACCUCAGACUUUUUCAACCUUCACGCAAUACAUGAGCGUGAGCCAUGGAUAUAGCACUAUGGGUGGAAUAGAAUAUGAUGAUGGGGGUUAUGUGGAGAAGACAAAAAAGGAGAAAGUCUCACAUCAACGAGGCUAAUCAAUGAGCUAUGGAGAUGCCCAUCGAUUGAUGUUAAUGCAAGGAGUAGGGAUUGCCAUGCAACGGAUGCACUAGAGCUAUAAAUAUAUGAAAGCUCAACAAAAGAAACUAAGUGGGUGUGCAUCCAACUUGCUUGCUCACGAAGACCUAGGGCACUUGAGGAGGCCCAUUGUUGGAAUAUACAAGCCAAGUUCUAUAAUGAAAAAUUCCCACUAGUAUAUGAAAGUGACAAAACAAGAGACUCUCUAUUAUGAAGAUCAUGGUGCUACUUUGAUGCACAAGUGUGGUAAAAGGAUAGUAACAUUGUCCCUUCUCUCUUUUUCUCUAAUUUUUUUGGCCUUCUCUUUUUUUUAUGGCCUUUCUCUCUUUUUUUUUAUUCCUCACUUGGGACAAUGCUCUAGAAAAUGAUGAUCAUCACACUUCUAUUUAUUUACAACUCAAUGAUUACAACUCGAUACUAGAACAAAGUAUGACUCUAUAUGAAUGCCUCCGGCGGUGUACCGGGAUAUGCAGUGAACCAAGAGUGACAUGUAUGAAAGAAUUAUGAACGGUGGCUUUGCCACAAAUACUAUGUCAACUACAUGAUCAUGCAAAGCAAUAUGACAAUGAUGAGCGUGUCAUGAUAAACGGAACGGUGGAAAGUUGCAUGGCAAUAUAUCUCGGAAUGGCUAUGGAAAUGCCAUAAUAGGUAGGUAUGGUGGCUGUUUUGAGGAAGAUAUAAGGAGGUUUAUGUGUGAAAGAGCGUAUCAUAUCACAGUGCUUGGAUGCACCGGCGAAGUUUGCACCAACUCUCAAUGUGAGAAAGGGCAAUGCACGGUACCGAAGAGGCUAGCAAUGGUGGAAAGGUGAGAGUGCGUAUAAUCCAUGGACUCAACAUUAGUCAUAAAGAACUCACAUACUUAUUGCAAAAAUCUACAAGUCAUCAAAAACCGAGCACUACGCGCAUGCUCCUAGGGGAUAGAUUGGUAGGAAAAGACCAUCGCUCGUCCCCGACCGCCACUCAUAAGGAGGACAAUCAAAGAACACCUCAUGUUUCAAAUUUGUUACAUAACGUUUACCAUACGUGCAUGCUACGGGACUUGCAAACUUCAACACAAGUAUUUCUCAAUUUCACAACAACUUAACUAACACAAUUUUAAUAUUACUACCUGCAUGUCUCAAAACAAUCAUCAAACAUCAAACUUCUCUUAGUAUUCAACGCACUCAUAAGAAAGUUUUUACUAUUCUUGAACACCUAGCAUAUUAGGAUUAUUUAAGCAAAUUACCAUGCUAUUUAAGACUCUCAAAAUAAUCUAAGUGAAGCAUGAGAGAUCAAUAGUUUCUAUAAAACAAAUCCACCACCGUGCUCUAAAAGAUAUAAGUGGAGUACUAGAGCAAAAACUAUAUAACUCAAAAGAUAUAAGUGAAGCACAUAGAGUAUUCUAAUAAUUUCCGAAUCAUGUGUGUCUCUCUCAAAAGGUGUGUACAAAAAAGAUGAUUGUGGUAAACUAAAAGGCAAAGACUCAAAUCAUACAAGACGCUCCAAGCAAAACACAUAUCAUGUGGUGAAUAAAAAUAUAGCUCCAAGUAAAGUUACCGAUGGAAGUAGACGAAAGAGGGGAUGCCUUCCGGGGCAUCCCCGAGCUUUGGCUUUUAGGUGUCCUUAUAUUAUCUUGGGGCUGCCAUGGGCAUCCCCAAGCUUAGGCUCUUUCCACUCCUUGUUCCAUAAUCCAUCAAAUCUUUCACCCAAAACAUGAAAACUUCACAACACAAAACUCAGCAGAAAAUCUCGUGAGCUCCGUUAGUGAAAGAAAACAAAAGACCACUUCAAGGUACUGUAAUGAACUCAUUAUUUAUUUAUAUUGGUGUCAAACCUACUGUAUUCCAACUUCUCUAUGGUUUAUAAACUCUUUUACUAGCCAUAGAUUCAUUAAAAUAAGCAAACAACACACGAAAAACAGAAUCUGUCAAAAACAGAACAGUCUGUAGUAAUCUGUAACUAACGCAAACUUCUCGUACUCCAAAAAAUCAGCCAAAAUAGGACGACCUAGACAAUUUGUUUAUUGAUCAGCAGCAAUUGGAAUCAAUAUUUUAUCGCGUUCUGGUGAUUUUUAACAAUUAUUUUUGUGAACAGAAAGUUUCUGGAAUUUUCUGCAAGAUCAAAUAACUAUCAUCCAAGAAGAUCCUAUAGGUUUAACUUGGCACAAACACUAAUUAAAACAUAAAAACACAUCUAACCAGAGGCUAGAACAAAUAUUUAUUCCUAAACAGAAGCAAAAAGCAAAAAACUAAAAAUAAAAUUGGGUUGCCUCCCAACAAGCGCAAUCGUUUAACGCCCCUAGCUAGGCAUUGAAAAUUUUAAUGAUGCUCACAUGAUAGACAAGAAUUGAAGUGCAAAGAGAGCAUCAUAGAACACGUGAUAAACACAUCUAAGUCUAACAUACUUCCUAUGCAUAGGCAUCUUAUAGGCAAACAAAUGAUCAUAGCAAGCAAAAACUAGCAUAUCAAGGAAGUGGAAAGAAACAAUAGCAAUCUCAACGUAAUGAGAGGUAAUUUCGUAACAUGAAAAUUUGUACAUCCAUAUUUUCCUCUCUCAUAAUAAUUACAUGUGGGAUCAUAAGAAAACUCAACAAAAUAGCUAUCACAUAAAAUAUUUUCAACACAAUCCACAUGCAUGCAAAGUUGACACUCUUCCAAAAUAGUGGGAUUAACAUUAACUAAAGUCAUGACCUCUCCAAACCCACUUUUAUCAAAAAUACCAUAAGAUUGAACAUUCUCCAAAUAUGUUGGAUCUAAAGUUGACACUCUUCCAAACCCACUUUCAAUAAUAUUGCAAACACUAUUAUCAAUCUCAUAUUCAUCAUGGGGCUUAAAUAAAUAUUCAAGAUCAUAAGAAGAAUCACCCCAACCAUGAUCAUUGCAACAAAUAGUAGUCAUAGCAAAACUAGCAUCCCCAAGCUUGGGGUUUUGCAUAUCAUUAACACAAUUGACAUCAAGAGAAUUUAUAAUAACCUCAUUGCAAUCAUGCUUCUCAUCGAAGGAGUUAUCAAGUAUGGGUGCAAUAGCAACGAUCUCAUGUUUAACAUAAGGAACUAUAACAAAUUCAUCUUCAUAAAUAUUGGCAUCAUGGCCACAAGAAUAGCAAGCAUCGUGUUCAUCAAGGGAUAUUUCAAUCAAAUCAUCGGAAUCGUCAUUAUCUAUAGAUACAUGCAUAUCAUUAUUUUCUUCCAAAGCAAUAGUCAUUCUCUCAAUAAAUUCUUUGACAUAGACAUUAUGAGCAUAGUUUUCAUAGCAAUAAGUAUGUCAAAUUUUCAGAUUCGUAGAGAGUAAUAUCAUACUUUUCAAUCAAAGAAGCAACUUCAUAAGCACCCUUAAAAGCAACAAAUUCUUCAGUUUGUUUGAUAUCAUAGUAACUAUAAACACCCUUUGCAUAAGAAGAUAAGAUUUCAUUAUCAUUAAACUCACAUAGGUAGGGGAGGUGUUUUUUAGGGUUCUUAGAGCAACAAGUAAUAUCAUAAAUUUCACAAAGAUUCCAAGCAUAACAUAGCAAUUUGUUUAUUUGAUUCCAUAAGAGUUUCCCUUUCUCAGACAAAUGGUGACGCACAAAAUGAGCAUGCUCAUCUAAAGAUUUCCCAUCAACUAGGCUAGUUGGGGUUUCAGCACGAGCGCAUAAGGAUCGAAGAUGACCCAAGUAGAACACUUUAAGUGGAUCCAUAUCAAUAGAGUUUUAGCAAGCAAAGAUGCAAGCAAAUAGAAGGCACGCGGAAACACAAACAAAAAGGCAUACAGGAACAAGGCGAAGAAAAGGCGAAUAAAGCGGCAAGGGUGAAGUGGGGGAGAGGAAAACGAGAGGCAAAUGGCGAAUAAUGUAAUGCGGGAGAUAAGGGUUUGUGAUGGGUACUUGGUAUGUUGACUUUUGCGUAGACCUCCCCGGCAACGGUGCCAGAAAUCCUUCUUGCUACCUCUUGAGCACUGCUUUGGUUUUCCCUUGAAGAGGAAAGGGUGAUGCAGCAAAGUAGCGUAAGUAUUUCCCUCAGUUUUUGAGAACCAAGGUAUCAAUCCAGUAGGAGGCUACACACGAGUCCCUCGCACCUACAAAAACAAAUAAAUCCUCGCAACCAAUGCGAUAAGGGGUUGUCAAUCCCUACACGGUCACUUACGAGAGUGAGAUCUGAUAGAUAUGAUAAGAUAAUAUUUUUGGUAUUUUUAUGAUAAAGAUGCAAAGUAAAAUAAAGGCAAAGAAAAUAACUAAGUGUUGGAAGAUUAAUAUGAUGGAAAAUAGACCCAGGGGCCAUAGGUUUCACUAGUGGCUUCUCUCGAGAGGAUAAGUAUUUACGGUGGGUGAACAAAUUACUGUUGAGCAAUUGACAGAAUUGAGCAUAGUUAUGAGAAUGUCUAGGCAUGAUCAUGUAUAUAGGCAUCACGUCCGAAACAAGUAGACCGACUCAUGCCUGCAUCUACUACUAUUACUCCACACAUUGACCGCUAUCCAGCAUGCAUCUAGAUUAUUAAGUUCAUAAGUACAGAAAGCAAGAUGACAUGAUGUAGAGGGAUAAACUCAUGCAAUAUGAUAUAAACCCCAUCUUGUUAUCCUCGAUGGCAACAAUACAAUACGUGCCUUGCUGCCCCUACUGUCACUGGGAAAGGACACCGCAAGAUUGAACCCAAAGCUAAGCACUUCUCCCAUUGCAAGAAAGAUCAAUCUAGUAGGCCAAACCAAACUGAUAAUUCGAAGAGACUUGCAAAGAUAACCAAUCAUACAUAAAAGAAUUCAGAAGAUUCAAAUAUUGUUCAUAGAUAAACUUGAUCAUAAACCCACAAUUCAUCGGUCUCAACAAACACACCACAAAAGAAGAUUACAUCGAAUAGAUCUCCACAAGAGAGGGGGAGAACAUUGUAUUGAGAUCCAAAAAGAGACAGGAAGCCAUCUAGCUAAUAACUAUGGACCCGAAGGUCUGAGGUAAACUACUCACACUUCAUCGGAGAGGCUAUGGUGUUGAUGUAGAAGCCCUCCGUGAUCGAUGCCCCCUCCGACGGAGCUCCGGAACAGGCCCCAAGAUGGGAUCUCACGGGUACAGAAGGUUGCGGCGGUGGAAUUAGGUUUUUGGCUCCGUAUCUGUUAGUUUGGGGGUACGUAGGUGUAUAUAGGAGGAAGGAGUACGUCGGUGGAGCAACGUGGGGCCCACGAGGGUGGAGGGCGCGUCCAGGGGGGUAGGCCCGCCCCCUACCUCGUGGCUUCCUGGUAGCUUUCUUGACGUAGGGUCCAAGUCCUCUGGAUCACGUUCGUUCCGAAAAUCACGUUCCCGAAGGUGUCAUUCCGUUUGGACUCCGUUUGAUAUUCUUUUUCUGCGAAACUCUGAAAUAGGCAAAAACAGCAAUUCUGGGUUGGGCCUCCGGUUAAUAGGUUAGUCCCAAAAAUAAUGUAGAAGUGUAUAAUAAAGCCCAAUAAUGUCCAAAACAAAAGAUAAUAUAGCAUGGAGCAAUGAAAAAUUAUAGAUACGUUGGAGAUGUAUCAUUAUACAACUCUUGUUUAAGAUUUUUUGCAGGAAAACUUCUCUCUAAAUGGGAAGGUCCUUACGUUAUCGAGGAGGUCUAUCGUUCCGGUGCCAUAAAAAUCAACAACUUCGAAGGCACAAAUCCAAAGGUGGUGAACGGUAAAAGAAUCAAACAUUAUAUCUCAGGUAAUCCCAUAAAUGUUGAAAAUAAUGUUAUUGAAACCGUAACCCCGGAGGAAUACAUAAGGGACACUUUCCAGAAUGUUUUAGACUCCGAAAAGGGAUAGGUAUUGUUGGGGAACGUAGUAAUUUCAAAAAAAUUCCUACGCACACGCAAGAUCAUGGUGAUGCAUAGCAACGAGAGGGGAGAGUGUUGUCCACGUACCCUCGUAGACCGAAAGCGGAAGCGUUAGCACAACGCGGUUGAUGUAGUCGUACGUCUUCACGAUCCGACCGAUCAAGUACCGAACGCACGGCACCUCCGAGUUCAGCACACGUUCAGCCCGAUUACGUCCCUCGAACUCCGGUCCAGCCGAGUGUUGAGGGAGAGUUUCGUAGCACGACGGCGUGGUGACAAUGAUGAUGUUCUACUGACGCAUGGCUUCGCCUAAGCACCGCUACAGUAUUAUCGAGGUGGACUAUGGUGGAGGGGGCACCGCACACGGCUAAAAGAUCAAACGAUCAAUUGUUGUGUCCUUGGGGUGCCCCCUGCCCCCGUAUAUAAAGGAGCAAGCGGGGAGGUGCAGCCGACCAGGGAGGAGGCACGCCAGGAGGAGUCCCACUCCCACCGGGAGUAGGACUCCCUCCCUUCCUUGUUGGACUAGGAGAGGAGAGGGAAGGAGAGAGGGGGGAAGGAAGGGGGGCGCCGCCCCCCCCCCCCCUCCUUGUCCAAUUCGUACUUGGGGGGGAGCGGCGCGCGACUGCCCCUUGGCCGCCUCUCCUCUUCCACCAAUUGGGCCCAUGAGGCCCAAUAGCCUCCGAGGGGGUUCCGGUAACCCCCCGGUACUCCAGUAUAUAUCCGAUAACCCCCGGAACCAUUCCGGUGUCCGAAUAUAGUCAUCCAAUAUAUCAAUCUUCAUGUAUCGACCAUUUCGAGACUCCUCGUCAUGUCCAUGAUCACAUCCGGGACUCCGAACAACCUUCGCUACAUCAAAACAUAUAAACUCAUAAUAUAACUGUCAUCGAAACGUUAAGCGUGCGGACCCUACGGGUUCGAGAACUAUGUAAACAUGACCGAGACACGUCUCCGGUCAAUAACCAAUAACGGAACCUGGAUGCUCAUAUUGGCUCCCACAUAUUCUACGAAGAUCUUUAUCGGUCAAACCGCAUAACAACAUACGUUGUUCCCUUUGUCAUCGGUAUGUUACUUGCCCGAGAUUCGAUCGUCGGUAUCUCCAUACCUAGUUCAAUCUCGUUACCGGCAAGUCUCUUUACUCGUUCCGUAAUACAUCAUCCCACAACUAACUCAUUAGUUGCAAUGCUUGCAAGGCUUAAGUGAUGUGCAUUACAGAGAGGGCCCAGAGAUACCUCUCCGACAAUCGGAGUGACAAAUCCUAAUCUCGAAAUACGCCAACCCAACAAGUACCUUUGGAGACACCUGUAGAGCACCUUUAUAAUCACCCAGUUACGUUGUGACGUUUGGUAGCACACAAAGUGUUCCUCCGGUAAACGGGAGUUGCAUAAUCUCAUAGUCAUAGGAACAUGUAUAAGUCAUGAAGAAAACAAUAGCAACAUACUAAACGAUCGAGUGAUAAGCCAACGGAAUGGGUCAAGUCAAUCACAUCAUUCUCCUAAUGAUGUGAUCCCGUUAAUCAAAUGACAACUCAUGUCUAUGGCUAGGAAACAUAACCAUCUUUGAUCAAUGAGCUAGUCAAGUAGAGGCAUACUAGUGACACUCUGUUUGUCUAUGUAUUCACACAAGUAUUAUGUUUUCGGUUAAUACAAUUCUAGCAUGAAUAAUAAACAUUUAUCAUGAUAUAAGGAAAUAAAUAAUAACUUUAUUAUUGCCUCUAGGGCAUAUUUCCUUCAGUCUCCCACUUGCACUAGAGUCAAUAAUCUAGAUUACACAGUAAUGAUUCUAACACCCAUGGAGCCUUGGUGCUGAUCAUGUUUUGCUCGUGGAAGAGGCUUAGUCAACGGGUCUGCAACAUUCAGAUCCGUAUGUAUCUUGCAAAUUUCUAUGUCUCCCACCUGGACUAAAUCCCGGAUGGAAUUGAAGUGUCUCUUGAUGUGCUUGGUUCUCUUGUGAAAUCUGGAUUCCUUCGCCAAGGCAAUUGCACUAGUAUUGUCACAAAAGAUUUUCAUUGGACCCGAUGCACUAGGUAUGACACCUAGAUCGGAUAUGAACUCCUUCAUCCAGACUCCUUCAUUUGCUGCUUCCGAAGCAGCUAUGUACUCCCCUUCACAUGUAGAUCCCGCCACGACGCUUUGUUUAGAACUGCACCAACUGACAGCUCCACCGUUCAAUGUAAACACGUAUCAGGUUUGCGAUUUAGAAUCGUCCGGAUCAGUGUCAAAGCUUGCAUCAACGUAACCAUUUACGAUGAGCUCUUUGUCACCUCCAUAAACGAGAAACAUAUCCUUAGUCCUUUUCAGGUAUUUCAGGAUGUUCUUGACCGCUGUCCAGUGAUCCACUCCUGGAUUACUUUGGUACCUCCCUGCUAAACUUAUAGCGAGGCACACAUCAGGUCUGGUACACAGCAUUGCAUACAUGAUAGAGCCUAUGGCUGAAGCAUAGGGAACAUCUUUCAUCUUCUCUCUAUCUUCUGCAGUGGUCGGGCAUUGAGUCUUACUCAACUUCACACCUUGUAACACAGGCAAGAACCCUUUCUUUGCUUGAUCCAUUUUGAACUUCUUCAAAACUUUGUCAAGGUAUGUGCUUUGUGAAAGUCCAAUUAAGCGUCUUGAUCUAUCUCUAUAGAUCUUGAUGCCCAAUAUAUACGCAGCUUCACCGAGGUCUUUCAUUGAAAAACUCUUAUUCAAGUAUCCCUUUAUGCUAUUCAGAAAUUCUAUAUCAUUUCCAAUUAGCAAUAUGUCAUCCACAUAUAAUAUUAGAAAUUCUACAGAGCUCCCACUCACUUUCUUGUAAAUACAGGCUUCUCCAAAAGUCUGUACAAAACCAAAUGCUUUGAUCACACUAUCAAAGCGUUUAUUCCAACUCCGAGAGGCUUGCACCAGUCCAUAAAUGGAUCGCUGGAGCUUGCACACUUUGUUAGCUCCCUUUGGAUCGACAAAACCUUCCGGUUGCAUCAUAUACAACUCUUCUUCCAGAAAUCCAUUCAGGAAUGCAGUUUUGACAUCCAUUUGCCAAAUUUCAUAAUCAUAAAAUGCGGCAAUUGCUAACAUGAUUCGGACAGACUUAAGCAUCGCUACGGGUGAGAAGGUCUCAUCGUAGUCAAUCCCUUGAACUUGUCGAAAACCUUUUGCAACAAGUCGAGCUUUAUAGACAGUAACAUUACCGUCAGCGUCAGUCUUCUUCUUGAAGAUCCAUUUAUUCUCAAUGGCUUGCCGAUCAUCGGGCAAGUCAACCAAAGUCCACACUUUGUUCUCAUACAUGGAUCCCAUCUCAGAUUUCAUGGCCUCAAGCCAUUUUGCGGAAUCUGGGCUCACCAUCGCUUCUGCAUAGUUCGUAGGUUCGUCAUGGUGUAGUAACAUAACCUCCAGAACAGGAUUACCGUACCACUCUGGUGCGGAUCUUACUCUGGUUGACCUACGAGGUUCAGUAACAACUUGAUCUGAAGUUCCAUGAUCAUCAUCAUUAACUUCCUCACUAAUUGGUGUAGGCAUCGCAGAAACCGGUUUCUGUGAUGAACUACUUUCCAAUAAGGGAGCAGGUACAAUUACCUCAUCAAGUUCUACUUUCCUCCCACUCACUUCUUUCGAGAGAAACUCCUUCUCCAGAAAGAUUCCGAAUUUAGCAACAAAAGUCUUGCCUCGGAUCUGUGAUAGAAGGUGUACCCAACAGUCUCCUUUGGGUAUCCUAUGAAGACACAUUUCUCCGAUUUGGGUUCGAGCUUAUCAGGUUGAAGUUUUUUCACAUAAGCAUCGCAGCCCCAAACUUUAAGAAAUGACAACUUUGGUUUCUUGCCAAACCACAGUUCAUAAGGUGUCGUUUCAACGGAUUUUGAUGGUGCCCUAUUUAACGUGAAUGCGGCCGUCUCUAAAGCAUAACCCCAAAACGAUAGCGGUAAAUCAGUAAGAGACAUCAUAGAUCACACCGUAUCUAGUAGAGUACGAUUACGACAUUCGGACACACCAUUACGUUGUGGUGUUCCGGGUGGCGUGAGUUGCGAAACUAUUCCGCAUUGUUUCAAAUGAAGACCAAACUCAUAACUCAAAUAUUCUCCUCCAUGAUCAGAUCGUAGAAACUUUAUUUUCUUGUUACGAUGAUUUUCAACUUCACUCUGAAAUUCUUUGAACUUUUCAAAUGUUUCAGACUUAUGUUUCAUUAAGUAGAUAUACCCAUAUCUGCUUAAAUCAUCUGUGAAGGUGAGAAAAUAACGAUAUCCGCCACGAGCCUCAACAUUCAACGGACCACAUACAUCUGUAUGUAUGAUUUCCAACAAAUUUGUUGCUCUCUCCAUAGUUCAGGAGAACGGCGUUUUAGUCAUCUUGCCCAUGAGGCACGGUUCGCAAGUACCAAGUGAUUCAUAAUCAAGUGGUUCCAAAAGUCCAUCACUAUGGAGUUUCUUCAUGCGCUUUACACCGAUAUGACCUAAACGGCAGUGCCACAAAUAAGUUGCACUAUCAUUAUCAACUCUGCAUCUUUUGGCUUCAAUAUUAUGAAUAUGUGUAUCACUACUAUCGAGAUUCAACAAAAAUAGACCACUCUUCAAGGGUGCAUGACCAUAAAAGAUAUUACUCAUAUAAAUAGAACAACCAUUAUUCUCUGAUUUAAAUGAAUAACCGUCUCGCAUCAAACAAGAUCCAGAUAUAAUGUUCAUGCUUAACGCUGGCACCAAAUAACAAUUAUUUAGGUCUAAAACUAAUCCCGAAGGUAGAUGUAGAGGUAGCGUGCCGACCGCGAUCACAUCGACUUUGGAACCAUUUCCCACGCGCAUCGUCACCUCGUCCUUAGCCAAUCUUCGCUUAAUCCGUAGCCCCUGUUUCGAGUUGCAAAUACUAGCAACAGAACCAGUAUCAAAUACCCAGGUGCUACUGCGAGCAUUAGUAAGGUACACAUCAAUAACAUGUAUAUCACAUAUACCUUUGUUCACCUUGCCAUCCUUCUUAUCCGCCAAAUACUUGGGGCAGUUCCGCUUCCAGUGACCAGUCUGCUUGCAGUAGAAGCACUUAGUCUCAGGCUUAGGUCCAGACUUGGGUUUCUUCUCCUGAACAGCAACUUGCUUGCUGUUCUUCUUGAAGUUCCCCUUCUUCUUCCAUUUGCCCUUUUUCUUGAAACCGGUGGUCUUAUUGACCAUCAACACUUGAUGCUCCUUUUUUAUUUCUACCUCCGCAGCCUUUAGCAUUGCGAAGAGCUCGGGAAUCGUCUUAUCCAUCCCUUGCAUGUUAUAGUUCAUCACGAAGCUCUUGUAGCUUGGUGGCAGUGAUUGGAGAAUUCUGUCAAUGACGCUAUCAUCCGGAAGAUUAACUCCCGGUUGAAUUAAGUGAUUGCAGUACCCAGACAUCUUGAGUAUAUGCUCACUGACAGAACUAUUCUCCUCCAUCUUGCAGCUGUAGAACUUAUUGGAGACUUCAUAUCUCUCAAUCCGGGCAUUUGCUUGAAAUAAUAACUUCAACUCCUGGAACAUCUCACAUGAUCCAUGAUGUUCAAAACGUUGUUGAAGUCCCGGUUCUAAGCCGUAAAGCAUGGCACACUAAACUAUCGAGUAGUCAUCAACACGUGACUGCCAGGCAUUCACAAUGUCUGCAGUUGCUGGCGCAGGUGGUACACCUAGCGGUGCUUCCAGGACGUAAUUCUUCUGUGCAGCAAUGAGGAUAAUCCUCAAGUUACGGACCCAGUCCGUGUAAUUGCUACCAUCAUCUUUCAACUUUGCUUUCUCAAGGAACGCAUUAAAAUUCAACGGAACAACAGCACGGGCCAUCUAUAUACAAUCAACAUAGACAAGCAAGAUACUAUCAGGUACUAAGUUCAUGAUAAAUUUAAGUUCAAUUAAUCAUAUUACUUAAGAACUCCCACUUAGAUAGACAUCCCUCUAAUCCUCUAAGUGAUCACGUGAUCCAUAUCAACUAAACCAUGUCCGAUCAUCACGUGAGAUGGAGUAGUUUCAACGGUGAACAUCACUAUGUUGAUCAUAUCUACUAUAUGAUUCAUGCUCGACCUUUCGGUCUCCGUGUUCCGAGGCCAUAUCUGUUAUAUGCUAGGCUCGUCAAGCUUAACCUGAGUAUUCCGCGUGUGCAACUGUUUUGCACCCGUUGUAUUUGACCGUAGAGCCUAUCACACCCGAUCAUCACGUGGUGUCUCAGCACGAAGAACUUUCGCAACGGUGCAUACUCAGGGAGAACACUUAUACUUUGAUAAUUUAGUGAGGGAUCGUCUUAUAAUGCUACCAUCAAUCAAAGCAAGAUAAGAUGCAUAAAAGAUAAACAUCACAUGCAAUCAAUAUAAGUGAUAUGUUAUGGCCAUCAUCAUCUUGUGCUUGUGAUCUCCAUCUCCGAAGCACCGUCAUGAUCACCAUCGUCACCAGCGCGACACCUUGAUCUUCAUCGUAGCAUCGUUGUCGUCUCGCCAAUCUUAUGCUUCUACGACUAUCACUACCGCUUAGUGAUAAAGUAAAGCAUUAUAGGGCGAUUGCAUUGCAUACAAUAAAGCGACAACCAUAUGGCUCGUGCCAGUUGCCGAUAACUCGGUUACAAAACAUGAUCAUCUCAUACAAUAAAAUUUAGCAUCAUGUCUUGACCAUAUCACAUCACAACAUGCCCUGCAAAAACAAGUUAGACAUCCUCUACUUUGUUGUUGCAAAUUUUACGUGGCUGCUACGGGCUUAGCAAGAACCAUUCUUACCUACGCAUCAAAACCACAAUGAUAGUUUGUCAAGUUGGUGCUGUUUUAACCUUCGCAAGGACCGGGCGUAGCCACACUCAGUUCAACUAAAGUUGGAGAAACUGACACCCGCCAGCCACCUGUGUGCAAAGCACGUCGGUAGAACCAGUCUCGCGUAAGCGUACGCGUAAUGUCGGUCCGGGCCGCUUCAUCCAACAAUACCGCCGAAACAAAGUAUGACAUGCUGGUAAGCAGUAUGACUUAUAUCGCCCACAACUCACUUGUGUUCUACUCGUGCAUAUAACAUCAACGCAUAAAACCAGGCUCGGAUGCCACUGUUGGGGAACGUAGUAAUUUCAAAAAAAUUCCUACGCACACGCAAGAUCAUGGUGAUGCAUAGCAACGAGAGGGGAGAGUGUUGUCCACGUACCCUCGUAGACCGAAAGCGGUAGCGUUAGCACAACGCGGUUGAUGUAGUCGUACGUCUUCAUGAUCCGACCGAUCAAGUACCGAACGCACGGCACCUUCGAGUUCAGCACACGUUCAGCCCGAUUACGUCCCUCGAACUCCGAUCCAGCCGAGUGUUGAGGGAGAGUUUCGUCAGCACGACGGCGUGGUGACGAUGAUGAUGUUCUACCGACGCAGGGCUUCGCCUAAGCACCGCUACAGUAUUAUCGAGGUGGACUAUGGUGGAGGGGGGCACCGCACACGGCUAAAAGAUCAAACGAUCAAUUGUUGUGUCCUUGGGGUGCCCCCCUGCCCCCGUAUAUAAAGGAGCAAGGGGGGAGGUGCGGCCGGCCAGGGAGGAGGCGCGCCAGGAGGAGUCCUACUCCCACCGGGAGUAGGACUCCCUCCCUUCCUUGUUGGACUAGGAGAGGAGAGGGAAGGAGAGAGGGGGAAAGGAAAGGGGGGGCGCCGCCCCCCCCCCCUCCUUGUCCAAUUCGGACUUGGGGGGAGGGGCGCGCGGCUGCCCCUUGGCCGCCUCUCCUCUUCCACCAAUUGGGCCCAUGAGGCCCAAUAGCCUCCGGGGGGGUUCCGGUAACCCCCCGGUACUCCGGUAUAUAUCCGAUAACCCCCAGAACCAUUCCGGUGUCCGAAUAUAGUCAUCCAAUUUAUCAAUCUUCAUGUCUCGACCAUUUCAAGACUCCUCGUCAUGUCCGUGAUCACAUCCGGGACUCCGAACAACCUUCGGUACAUCAAAACAUAUAAACUCAUAAUAUAACUGUCAUCGAAACAUUAAGCGUGCGGACCCUACGGGUUCGAGAACUAUGUAGACAUGACCGAGAUACGUCUCCGGUCAAUAACCAAUAGCGGAACCUGGAUGCUCAUAUUGGCUCCCACAUAUUCUACGAAGAUCUUUAUCGGUCAGACCGCAUAACAACAUACUUGUUCCCUUUCAUCGGUAUGUUACUUGCCCGAGAUUCGAUCGUCGGUAUCUCAAUACCUAGUUCAAUCUCGUUACCGGCAAGUCUCUUUACUCGUUCCGUAAUACAUCAUCCCACAACUAACUCAUUAGUUGCAAUGCUUGCAAGGCUUAAGUGAUGUGCAUUACCGAGAGGGCCCAGAGAUACCUCUCCGACAAUCGGAGUGACAAAUCCUAAUCUCGAAAUACGCCAACCCAACAAGUACCUUUGGAUACACCUGUAGAGCACCUUUAUAAUCACCCAGUUACGUUGUGACGUUUGGUAGAACACAAAGUGUUCCUCCGGUAAACGGGAGUUUCAUAAUCUCAUAGUCAUAGGAACAUGUAUAAGUCAUGAAGAAAGCAAUAGCAACAUACUAAACGAUCGAGUGCUAAGCUAACGGAAUGGGUCAAGUCAAUCACAUCAUUCUCCUAAUGAUGUGAUCCCGUUAAUCAAAUGACAACUCAUGUCUAUGGCUAGGAAACAUAACCAUCUUUGAUCAACGAGCUAGUCAAGUAGAGGCAUACUAGUGACACUCUGUUUGUCUAUGUAUUCACACAAGUAUUAUGUUUCCGGUUAAUACAAUUCUAGCAUGAAUAAUAAACAUUUAUCAUGAUAUAAGGAAAUAAAUAAUAACUUUAUUAUUGCCUCUAGGGCAUAUUUCCUUCAGGUAUGUGGUACAGUAAGUAAACCGACUCCAAAACAGUUCUAAUAGCAAUUCUUCUCCGUUUUGGAAUAUUUAAGAAAAUAGGAAAAUAAGAAGUAGUCCGGGAAGGACACGAGGCAUCCACGAGGGUGGAGGGCGUGCCCUACCCCCCUUGGGCGCGCCCCUGCCUCGUGGGCACCUCAUGUGCCCUCCGGACUCCGUUUUCUUGCACGAUACUUCUUUUGGUCAGUAAAAAUUCAUUAUAUAAUCUCCCGAAGGUUUUGACCACCGUACCAUGCAAAUAUCUCCUGUUUUUGUUCCUAGCUGUUUUCUGCCAGAGUUUUCAAGGUCAGGCAUCAUGUCGUCCCCCUCCUCCAACAACGCGGGCGACGAUGCUUGUCUAAUGAAGAUAGAGAUGAAGCGGGAAGAAAUCCGGGAAACCAAGGAAGGUGACAAGAUCUAGGAGGUCGCGAAGGAGCAAGUCCUGACAGUAGAAGAAGAAGGCUUCUCUCAACCUUACUACAAUCAUCUCACCCCAAUUGAGAUUGAAGCUUUCAAGAUGAUUGAGUUAGCUUGCAUACAAAAUAAGUAUCUCACACGUGAAAAUCUUUUGUUGCAAGAGCAUAUCACUGCACUCAAGGGCAUUAUCCGCAAGCUGGAGGAUCUCCUACGCUCGAUGUGCGACACUCCAUCAUCACCACCUUCGAAGAAAGAGACAUAAACACAUGGGUAUGGCCACUUCCCUUGGCAACUGCCAAGCUUGGGGGAGGUGCCCCGGUAUCGUAUCACCAUCACACUCCUAUCUUUACCCUUUUUCUUAGUUCGAUCCUUUUGGUAAUAUCUUGAUCUAGUAGAAUAAAGUUUUUAGUAUGAUCAAGUUUUGAGUUUUGCUUUAUGAUUCCUCUAUAUAAUCGAGUCCGUUAUGAUCUUGAGUGAAUUAAAUAAAGAAUAAAAAGAUUAUAUUUACCUUAUGGAGAGUAAUGACUUCACAUAUAAAGAGUAUGAUGAAUAAAAGUUGUUGAGAAUUGACAAACAUAGUUUUGGUCAUCGUUGCAAUUAGUAGGAAGUAAUAAAGAAAGAGAGGUUUUCACAUAUAAAUAUACUAUCUUGGACAUCUUUUAUGAUUGUGAGCACUCAUUAAAAUAUGACAUGCUAAAAAGUUGUUGUUGGAUAAGGAAGACAACGUAAUGGGUUAUGUUUUCUCAUAUCCGAAAUAAAUUAUAUUGUCAUGGAUCAUCCAACAUGUUGAGCUUGCCUUUCCCCCUCAUGCUAGCCAAAUUCUUUGCACCAAGUAGAGAUACUACUUGUGUUUCCAAAUAUCCUUAAAACCCAGUUUUGCCAUGAGAGUCCACCAUAUCUACCUAUGGAUUGAGUAAGAUCCUUCAAGUAAGUUCUCAUUGUUGCAAGCAAGAAAAAUUGCUCUCUAAAUAUGUAUGAUCUAUUAGUGUGGAGAAAAUAAGCUUUAUACAAGCUUGUGAUAUGGAAGAAAUAAAAGCGACGGACUACAUAAUAAAGGUCCCUAUCACAAGUGGCAAUAUAAAGUGACGUUCUUUUGCAUUAGGAUUUUGUGCAUCCAACCAUAAAAGCACAUGACCACCUCUGCUUCCCACUGCGAAGGGCCUAUCUUUUAUUUUUGUCUUAUACCUUAUACAAGGGUCAUGGUGAUCUUCACCUUUCCUUUUUACACUUCAUCCUUUGGCAAGCACUAUGUNNNNNNNNNNNNNNNNNNNNNNNNNNNNNNNNNNNNNNNNNNNNNNNNNNNNNNNNNNNNNNNNNNNNNNNNNNNNNNNNNNNNNNNNNNNNNNNNNNNNNNNNNNNNNNNNNNNNNNNNNNNNNNNNNNNNNNNNNNNNNNNNNNNNNNNNNNNNNNNNNNNNNNNNNNNNNNNNNNNNNNNNNNNNNNNNNNNNNNNNNNNNNNNNNNNNNNNNNNNNNNNNNNNNNNNNNNNNNNNNNNNNNNNNNNNNNNNNNNNNNNNNNNNNNNNNNNNNNNNNNNNNNNNNNNNNNNNNNNNNNNNNNNNNNNNNNNNNNNNNNNNNNNNNNNNNNNNNNNNNNNNNNNNNNNNNNNNNNNNNNNNNNNNNNNNNNNNNNNNNNNNNNNNNNNNNNNNNNNNNNNNNNNNNNNNNNNNNNNNNNNNNNNNNNNNNNNNNNNNNNNNNNNNNNNNNNNNNNNNNNNNNNNNNNNNNAUUGGAUGUGGGUUUUCAUAAAGCAUUAUUGUUGACGUUACCCUUGAGGUAAAAGGUUGGGAGGCAAAACUAUAAGCCGCUAUCUUUCUCUGUGUCCGAUUAAAACUUCAUACCCAUAAGUAUUGCGUGAGUGUUAGCAAUUGUGAAAGACUAAGGGAUAGUUGAGUAUGUGGACUUGCUGAAAAGCUCUUAUAUUGACUCUUUCCAAUGUUAUGAUAAAUUGCAAUUGCUUCAAUGACUGAGAUUAUAGUUUGUUAGUUUUCAAUGAAGUUUCUGAUUCAUACUUUACAUUGUGAAUAGAUUGUUACUUCAGCAUAAGAAAUCAUAUGACAAUAUAUAUAUGCUGCUAUUUUAAGAAUGAUCAUGAUGCCCUCAUGUCCGUAUUUUAUUUUAUCGACACCUUUAUCUCUAAACAUGUGGGCAUAUUUUCCGAUAUCGGCUUCCGCUUGAGGACAAGCGAGGUCUAAGCUUGGGGGAGUUGAUAUGUCCAUUUUGCAUCAUGCUUUUAUAUUGAUAUUUAUUGCAUUAUGCGCUGUUAUUAUACAUUAUGUCACAAUACUUAUGCCUUUUCUCUCUUUUUUUACAAGGUUUACAUGAAGAGGAAGAAUGCCGGCAGCUGGAAUUCAAGGCUGGAAAAGGAGCAAAUAUUAGAGACCUAUUCUGCACAACUCCAAAAGUCCUGAAACUCCACGAAAGUCAGUUUUGGAAUAUAUUAAAAAUAUUGGGCGAAGAAAGCACCAGAGGGGGGCCACACCCUGAUACGUCUCCGUCGUAUAUAUAAUUUUUUAUUGUUCCAUGCCAAUAUUCUACAACUUUCAUAUACUUUUGGCAACUUUUUAUACUAUUUUUUGGACUAACAUAUUGAUCCAGUGCCCAGUGCCAGUUCCUGUUUGUUGCAUGUUUUUUGUUUCACAGAAAAUCCAUAUCAAACGGAGUCCAAAUGGGAUAAAAACUGACGGAGAAUUUUUUUGGAAUAUUUAUGAAUUUUGGGAAGUGGAAUCAACGCGACACGAUGCCCGAGGGGGCCACGAGACAGGAGGGCGCGCCCCUGACCCUCAUGGACACCCCCUAAGGCGGUUGGAGCCCUUCUUUCGCCGCAAGAAAGCCAAUAUCCGGAUAAAAAUUGUGUUCAAAUUUCAAUCCAAUCAGAGUUACGGAUCUCCGGGAAUAUAAGAAACGGUGAAAGGCCAGAUCUAGGAACGCGGAAAUAGAGAGAGACAGAGAGAUAGAUCCAAUCUCGGAGGGGCACUCGCCCCUCCCAUGCCAUGGAAGCCAAGGACGAGAGGGGAAACCCUUCUCCCAUCUAGGGAGAAGGUCAAGGAAGAAGAAGAAGAAGAAGAAGAAGAAGGGGGGCCCUCUCCCCCUCUCUCCCGGUGGCACCGGAACGCCGUCGGGGCCAUCAUCGCGACAACAAUCUACACCAACAACUUCACCGCUGUCAUGACCAACUCUUGCCCCCUCUAUGUAGCGGUGUACCCCCCCUUUUACACGCUAUAAUCUCUACUUAAACAUGGUGCUCAACGCUAUAUAUUAUUUUCCAAUGAUGUAUGGCUAUCCUAUGAUGUUUGAGUAGAUCCGUUUUGUCCUAUGGGUUAAUUGAUGAUCGUGAUUGGUUUGAAUUGCAUGUUUUAUUAUUGGUGUUGUCCUAUGGUGCUCUCCAUGUCACGCAAGCGUGAGGGAUCCCCGAUGUAGGGUUUGCAAUAUGUUCAUGAAGAAAUUGCCAGGGCAACCACUAGUUUUGCACCUGAAGAAACUGCCAGGCCAGCUGAAGCUUCUGCCGCUGAGCCUGAAGUAAAUGAACAAAUUCCCUCUGCUCCUCCUGCGCCUACACCAAGUCCAAUUCUUCCUUCUACAUCAGAUGUGAAGAAGACCAAGGCUGCGGAGCAUGCAGCUGUGAAGAAAAGGAAAGCAUCAACUUCAUCAGAUUCUUCAGCUCCAAAGAAGAUGAAGCCAUUGACCAGCUCUUUUGAAAAUCCAAUUGAUGCUAUUCCGGUCUCAUCCAUGCCAUCAAAGGACCUUGUUCCUUUUGAUGAAGAAUAUGUGAUUCCAAGUGGAUGAGAUGAAGAGAUUCCUUCUGCUGCUUCGUUAGAGCAGUUGGAUGAAGAAAUUGAAGCGGAUGCAAUCCCUUCAACCCCAACAGUCUCAUCGCCCAUGCCUCCGUUCACUACUGAAGAGACCGGCGUUGAAGAAAAGAGUGAAGAAGAAGAUGUAGACAUUGGGUGCACAACUCCUGUGUUGAACGAUGACUUUUGGGAAAGUCAGCACCUCAAUUCUCCUCUGUUCACACCCUUACAACAAAUUCCUCAGUCCCCAGUGAAUACUGAAGUAUAGAUGGGAUAUGAAGAACCUCAUGCCACACCGUCUGUCCAUGAAGAGAUUCCAGCCACUAGUGCUAAAGAAAAUGUUAAUGAAGAAUUGAAAACCCAGGCGCCACUGAAGAAGAAGCUGAAAUUCCUCAGCCUGUGGAUCCUGAGAUUGCGAUUCCUGAGGUGGUGAUGCAAUUGACUGAUACUCCUCAGCCCAAGCCAAAGGAUCCCUUCUCGAAGAAGCAAAAAUUCAAGGCUGAUGACUUCUUCGGUGAGCAUGUGUUCUUCACAGACCAUAAUCCCUAUGACUCUGUUCGUCUUAGAAGGAAGCGCUUCUGGACUGCCAGCCAAGCAAUUUUUUAUUCUUCUCUGCUCUUCAACAAGGACAAAGUCUUCGACCAUGAGCAUAUUCCUCACGUGGACAUGGAAUCACUGCCUUGCUUUACCCCGGUCCUCGGUGUGCUUCUUGAUGCAGGACUACUCAACUUUUGCAUGGAUAUUUGCGAUUGGAAUGAAGAGCUCAUUCUUCAAUUCUAUGCAACUCUGCACGUUACAGGAGAUGUUGAUGAUGUCAACUCUUGGGUAUUGGACUGGAUGACCGAAAAUACUCAUUAUAAAGCACUGGCCUCUGAAUUACAUCACGCCCUGCCAAUCAGUCCUCCCCUUGAAGGAGCUCGUGCCUGUACCAUGAGCCUGAACUCACUGCCCAUUACAUGCAAGUGCUAAUGAAGCCUCUGAAGCCCGGUCAAGCCCCAAGGACCAAAUUACUCGUGAAGGAAUUACUGUAUGUACCAAGAACAGUCUAUCGCAUUCUAACAAAGUCUUUGAGUCCAAUCAAAGGCCACGACUGAACUGAUGAAGAAGUCGUUGGCAUCAUGAAGAAUCUGCUGUUCAAUAUCAUGCAUGUGUCACAUCCCUAGUUCUGGUUUGCUCUAGGCUAGCUAGUCAUGUGUGCAUCAUGUUUAAAUUUGAAUGAAUUUGAAAUGGGGACAUGUGAAAGCCUCAGAAAUCAUUUCUGAAAAAGACCAAGAUAAAAUUUGCUUCAAAUAGGUCCAAGAAAAUGUUCAUGUUUCUCUAUGAAAAUAUUGGCCAGAAUUAAAAUUCAAACCAAUAUUUUUAGGAGCUCAUAAAUAUUUAUUUUGGGCAUUUGAAGCUAAUGCAAUAACUAUUUGCAUUGGAUUUAUAUUUGCUAUAUAUCGAAUAUGUGUCCAAUAAUUCUGAGAAAUUGUGAGGGGCUCUGGGAUAAUCCUUUCAGUCCCUGCAAAAUUAUCAGAAGAAAGCAAAAUGGUUUAGUGCUUAAAACUAAAUCAAAACAAAUAAUAGAAAAGGAAAACAGAAAACAGAAAUAAAAGAGAGAGAGAAGGACUACCUGGCCAUCUACCUGUAGCCGGCCCAGCUCACUGGCCCAGUCCACCUGGCGCCUCCUGUCGCCUUCCUCCUGCCAGUAGGAGCAGUUGCGUGCUCGCACGCGCGCGGCCGAGGAGGCCAGCUCCUCCCUGCCUGCCUGCCGCUUCCCCGACGCGUCUGGACGACGCCACGCGCCACCCCGGUCCCUCUCUCCCACUCCCUCGCCCUUCCCCGCCUCUGCUCCCUCUCCGCAGCGCGCCCGAACACCCCGUGGCACACCGACGAGCACCGCCGCAGCCACGGCCAUCCCCUAGCCCAACCACCGUGACCAAUAGCUCCGCAAGGACGCAAAGCAUCUCCUCGACGAGCCACGCAAGCCGGGUCUCACCGCAACACCGCCAUCGAUGCCUUCUUCAACCUCGGGACCGCCGGCCAUCUCCGUCAAAUUCCUCGGCUCCGGACCGUCCCCGACCUCGCCGAGCGUCCCCUCGUCAUCGAUGUGAGCCCCUGACCACUUACCCCUGCUCCCCAUGACGAAUUCGUGCCGCAGCCAUCGAUCCCCGCCGUGCCAGAAGCUCACCGCCGCCCGGCCUUGUCGCUGCCGUGGCCUGAGCUCGAACGAGUCGCGCCCGUGCACCUCACCGAGCUCCUGGUGACCCCAGGAGGCUGCGCAGCGUCUUACUUCGCUCGCCCGUGCCCCGCAACGCCGUUUCCGCUGAGACCCGAACUCCGGCCGCCGCCUUUGAGCUCGCCGCCGUCGAUAUAGGUCGCCCCCGGCGUAACUGACUGCACCACUCGACGCGUGGGAUCACCAGCAUCACGUAGAUGCCCUCCGCCGGCCAUUUGGUCGCCGGAGGAGGAAUCCCGCACCUCGCCGCCGCGUCUGGCCUCGUCGGCGUCGAGUCGCCGGUGGAUUAGCCCCGGUUGACCAGGGAUUUGACCCCCCUAGGGUCACUGACGUGUGGGCCAUGCCCCUGUUUAGUUUAGGUGUUAGCUUAGUUAGCGCAAAUUAACUUAGUUAAUUGGUUGACUCACUGACAUGUGGGCCCAGGCCCUAAUUAACCUAGAUUAGUGCUAACGCAACACUAACUAACUCUGUUAGUUAGUUGCUACACUGACAUGUGGGUCCCAGCCGUCAGGUUUGACCUGGGCUGGCGCCUUUGACCUGCUGACGUCACCACGACGUCAUGCUGACGCAGUUAACCCUUUUUCUAGAUUUAUUCUUAUAUAGGAAAUUCCAGAAAAAGGCUUAAACUUCUAAAAAUCAUAUAAAUUCAACCGUAGCUCCAAAUGAAACAAAUUAUAUAUGAAAAAUGAUCAGAAAAAUCCAAUCUAUCCAUCUGUACUAGUUUCAUGCAUGUUAGAGCAACCUAACCUUGCUGUUUAGAUGAAACAAGAUAAUGCACUUAUAUGACUCUAUAAAAUGGGUUUGCAUUUGAAUCUUGGGUUCAAAUGGACUCAUCUUAAUCUGUUCUAGCUCCCGUUAGCCCCAAAAAACAUUCAUAUUGCCAUGUCAUGAUCAUGCAUCAUAUUGUGCAUUGCAUUGAUUGUAUUUCUUCUCUGUUGCCGGUAUUUGUCCCCUCUCGGUAGACGAUGUUCCGACGUUGUGAUCGUUGACACUAAUGAAGACUCAAUGCUAUCUUCAGAAGUGCCAGGCAAGCAAACCCCCUUGUUCAUUCCGAUAUAAUCCCCCUCUCUCGCUCCUGCUCUCUUUUACUGCAUUAGCACAACAACGUUUCAACUGUUACAUGCUGCGGUAGUUGAACCCCUUUCCUCUGCAUGACCUGUCAUUGUCACAGUAAAUAGAUGAAACUCACUAGCAUGAGUAGGAGUUGUUUGAGCCCUGAUGUGCCUACUCAUUCAUGCUUGUUUGUCAUGCCUGCUAUUGCUUAGAGUUGUGUCAGGUCUGAUUCAUCGGGAAUGAAUUGGAAAGUUAUGAACAUGUCCUACUGUGUGAGAGCUAAGUGUGUGAACAUGAUUUGGUAAAGGUAGCGGUGAGAGGCCAUGUAGGAGUACAUGGUGGGUUGUCUCAUUGAAAUCGUCCUCAGGAACUGAGUUCUGUGUUUGUGAUCCAUGAACAGUUACUACCACACAUUGGGUUCCGGUAACUCGACCCCUCUCGACUUAUUAAUCAACUUGAUCUCUGUCCAGGAGUUGCAACUAGUUUCUGGUGUUUGUAGGUAGUGUUAGUAGUCUACCAAGUGGCACCCGGUACAGGUGGGCUUGGGACAGACUAGGCACACGUGGCCUGGUGUACCGAGUGGCACCCGGAUGGUGGGCUCGGGAACCCUGCACACAUCGUUUGGGGCCGUGAGCAACACCCCGGCCGGAUCUCCUUGCGGAUGGAACCCGAAUAGGCGAUAAACCUGGACCAGAGACUUGUGUGGUUAGUCAGGUCGUGGCCGACUCCCUCGCCAGGCUUCCGCUUGAAGGUUGCCGAGGUACACGACGUGUACAUGGUGGUAAGUGGCAAGAGCGUGUGUGACGAAGUACACCCCUGCAGGGUUAACAUCAUCUAUUCGAAUAGCCGUGUCCGCGGUAAAGGACUUCUGGGUUGCCUGUACAGUUCAUAGACAAGUGAAAGUGGAUACUCUAAAAUGCACAAGAUAAGCGUGAGUGCUAUGGAUGGCGUUCUCGUAGGGAGACGGGAGCGGAUCCAUAGUGGUGUAUUGAUAUGGUGAAUAUGUGGACUCGUGUGCGCCACCUCAAAAGAGUUGCUUGCAGUCGUAGUUCAGGUUAGCCACUGAGUCAAAGCUGGCUUGCUGCAGUUAAACUCCACCACCCCUUUUGUUGAUACUGAUGCAUAUGUAGAUAGUUCUGAUGUAAGUCUUGCUGGGUACAUUUGUACUCACGUUUGCCUAUUUUAUGUUUUGCAGAGAGACGUCAGUCUCGCUAGUAGUGUUGUGUGGACUUCGACGUUUAGCUUGUUACCUCAGCUACGAUCUUGUGCCCUCGGCAGGAUCUAGUAAAUAGUCAGGCUUCUUAGCCUUUUUCAUUUGUAGAUGUCUGUACUCAGACAUGUUAAGCUUCCGCAUGUGUUUGACUUGUAUGCUCUGAAUGUUGGGUCAUAAGACCCAUGUUUGUAAUAUCUCGCUCUUCGGAGCCUAAUGAAUAAAUACUCUGAGUCGUAGAGUCUUGUGAUGCCAUGUUGUAUUUGCACAUAUCGAGCAUAUUGUGUGUAUGAUUGAAAUGCUUGGUAUGUGUGGGAUCCGACAACCUAGUUGUUUAUCCUUGGUAGCCUCUCUUAUGGGGAAAUGUAGUCUUGUGCUUCCAUGAGCCAUAGUAGUCCGCUACAGCCCGGUUCACCGGAGUCCUGCUAGCCCAGCACUACUGCUCCGGAACACUUGACUGGCCGGCAUGUGAUUCACUUCGUUCCUGUGUCUGUCCCUUCGGGGAAAUGUCACGCGGUGACGUCCGGAGUCCUGCCUAGCCUGCUACAGCCCGGGUUCCCGGAGUCCUGUUAGCCCAGAGCUACAGCCCGGAUUCGCACGCUGCUGACCGACAUGCUCGAUGUUGAUUCAUGUAUGCCUGUCCCCGUAAGUUAGUGCCACUUUGGGUUCAUGACUAGUCAUGUCGGCCCGGGUUCUCUGUCAUAUGGAUGCUAGCGACACUAUCAUAUACGUGAGCUAAAAGGCGCAAACGGUGUCGGGCCAUGGUAAGGCGACACCCGUGGGAAUACCGUGCGUGAGGCCACAAAGUGAUAUGAGGUGUUACCGGCUAGAUCGAUGUGACUUGGAAUCGGGGUCCUGACAGCAUGGCAUUCCUGUGAACUAUCACAAUUUCUCAUGAGGACUCUGGCAAAUGUUGCACUCUCUCCGUUUGAGUUGAAGCCUUAUGCUACUUGGAUUAUGAGAUUCAUCAUAACAAGGUCUUCACUCAACUACAAGGCUGACACUCUCAACCAUGGCAGCUACUUGCCCCCCAUUGAAGUCCUCAAAAGGACAUUUUCCUCAGCUGAUGAAAAGGGCAAGGCCGCUGCUGUUAUUGAUGAAGGCAUUCGUCCAUUGGAUGGUCAGUUUCGCAAAGCUGCAUCUUACUCCACCAAUGAUGACUCUGCCACUCAUGACUCUGCCGCUAAUGCUUCAAAGCCAAAUCCUCAAGCCACAGCUCCCAGGGUGAUGACUAACCGUGAGCUUCUUCUUAGUCUUCACCAGAAGGUGGAUCGAAACCACAAAUGGGUUAAGCGUCAGUUUGGUUCUAUUCUUCACAACAUGACUGCUACUCGCAAUGCAGUGAAGAAAAACCAUUACUACCUCCAUGAAGUUUUCGGUCGCACCUGGGCUAUUCUGUCACAUCUAUAUGGUGAAGAAGAUCUGAAGCAAAUGGGUCUCAAGGAGGACUUUGCCUGGUCUGAACCACCAGCAAAGAAAUUCAAGAAGGUCAAGGUUCCUUCCUUGGUGGCCAGCUCUUAUUCUUCAUCACGCGAAACCGACAAGCAUGAAGACUUGGACGACACUGCGGCAGGCCCUACAGCAACAAACGACCCCAACAACGCUGGCGCUCCUUCUUCAACUUGAUAUUCUUCAGGGGCGUUAGUCCUCAUUUUUCGUCCCUUUUGGUCAUUUGAUGACAAAGGGGGGAAAUUUGAGUUAGUCUUCAAGUUGAAUUACAUUUUGAAGACUUUGCUGGAUCGAGUUGUAAACUUAAACCCGAUGGUGGUCUGAUACUUUUACUAUGUUCUUCUGCAUGCUAUUUUCUCAUAUAUGUUAAUGCACGCAUGCUGAAUUACAUCAGUCACCAUAUUUCAUCAUGCAUUUCAAAGUCUUCAUAUCAUAUGUUAAAUGCGUGUAUGAAUUACAAGAUAUAGGGGGAGAUCUCCACGAUUCUACGCUUCAAAUGUGCAUUGCUUCAAAAGCAAAUGCCUCACUAUGCACAUCUUCAGGGGGAGUUCUUCUAUAUCUUGCAAUCAAAUUCCUCAAUAUUAAUAUUUAUACUUCAUAUGUUUUAUCCCCGUUGAAAACUUAACCUAUAUUGUCAUCAAUCACCAAAAAGGGGGAGAUUGUAAGUGCAUCUAGUGCCCCUUAGUGAUUUUGGUGUAUUGAAGACUUAUAGGUUAAGGGACUGAUGCGUUUGUGAGUGUACACAGGUCUAUAAGUCUAUGAGGAGUUUGAUAUUUACGGAGAAAGUCGACCCCUAAAAAGGAAUAUCUUCGACUAAAGACUUAGGAUUUCUGAAGACUUUCUGAAGACUUUGGAAGUGAAGAAAUUGGUGUGACCUUGAAGACUUGGUAUUCAUUCGAGGAACAUGAAGCGUGAAGACUUUUGUUUUCGUAGUUUCAUUUUCUCUUUCUUGAGUCAUAGGAAACACCGUACUGUUAAAGGGGGUCGAGGAAAUACUAAAGAAAAAUUUCCAUGUGAUGCUCAACUCAAAAUUCUACACCUAUCAAUCCCUUCGAGUGAAGCCAUUGGAAAUCUCAUACAGUUCAGUCAAUUUGUUCAGCGACAGAGACGAAGUUCUUCUGGUCUUUGAGGAAUUUAUUCAGACUGGGGAGUUAGGAAUUCGCUAGUGCGGAUUGCCUACACAGUGAGGAACAUGAUAGCCCUGAGGUAUUUGAUACUCAAAAUUCCGACCGUUGUUGUGCUACGUGCCAGCUGCCGCAAAAUAUCUACCCACCUAACGGUCAUAUCAUUGAAGGGCAUUUAUGUCUUAUCAUGUCGGGCUGCUCCCUAGGCUAUAAAUAGCCGCCCCCUACAACCACUAGCUGGUUGGCUGCUCCGAGAGAAACUGACACUUGUCAUUUGAGAGCAUCCCAUCCUCUGAGGACUUUGAGCAAAAAUCAUCAAGUGAGGAAAACCCAAACCCAAACACCUACAAACCCAAAGUGAUUGAGCAUCACUAAAGAGAUUGAUCUUGCGUAGAUCCGAUGCUUGUUACCUUUGAAGACUGUGCUUCUUCCAGACGGUUAGGCGUCAUGGUCUGAGCAUCCAAGAGGAAAUUGUGGAUCGCCGAGUGACCGAGUUUGUGAAGGUUUGGAAGUCACCUGAAGACUUACCACGAGUGAUUGUGCGAGGUAUGUGUGACCUUAGCUCAAGGAGAAUACGAUGAGGACUGUGUGUCCGGGACUAUGUGUUCUCAGGUUUAAAUACCUAGCCGCUCCAACCAGACGUACAACUGACACAGCAGUUGGAACUGGUCUACCAAAUCAUUGUCUUCACCAAGCUUACUGGUUCUAUUUCCUCAACUCUUUCAUUUCCUAUUUACUGUGUUGUGUGCCUGUUCAUAUCUGUUCGAAGACUUUGACUGAAGACUUUCUCAAUUUCCUCAGUUCAAUUUCUUCAGUCUAUUUGUCUUCAUCCUGUGUUAUCCUGUGUUUACGCUUUCUGUACUCUGUGCGUGUCUUCAUUUCAUCAUGAUGACCAUGCUUGUGUUCUGUUAUGUUUACGUCUGAGUACUUAUUCCGCUGCAAGUAGUUCUUCUCUUAGAAAUUUCCUCACCUGCAAAUUCCUCAGUGAAGAAUUCAUAAAAAUCGCCUAUUCACCCCCCUCCCUCUAGUCGAUAUAACGCACUUUCAAAACCCUUAAAAACGCAUAUAAGGCGCACUGCAAACCGUUUUUGCGUUGCGAAAUUGCCCCACGCAGAACAGACCCCGUAAAUGAAGCUGUAUGACACAAUAGCCCUUUUUUUCUUUUUUUCCUUUUUCUCCCGUCCCGGCAGAGCCCGUCUCCGGCCAUGAUGUGCCUCGCCCCGGCGCCGCCCGCACCGACCGCUUGCUCCCUGGCGCGCCUGCCCGUCCAGCUGCCGUGCGCGCACUCCCCGGCGUUGCCGCAUGAGGUCNNNNNNNNNNNNNNNNNNNNNNNNNNNNNNNNNNNNNNNNNNNNNNNNNNNNNNNNNNNNNNNNNNNNNNNNNNNNNNNNNNNNNNNNNNNNNNNNNNNNNNNNNNNNNNNNNNNNNNNNNNNNNNNNNNNNNNNNNNNNNNNNNNNNNNNNNNNNNNNNNNNNNNNNNNNNNNNNNNNNNNNNNNNNNNNNNNNNNNNNNNNNNNNNNNNNNNNNNNNNNNNNNNNNNNNNNNNNNNNNNNNNNNNNNNNNNNNNNNNNNNNNNNNNNNNNNGUGGUCGCGUGAGCUCCCCAGUGCCCCCCGCCCUUCUUCGGCGCUGCCCCACCCUGAUUCAAGCCGCCGGUGGCCUGCUCCGCCCUACCCGUGGACGGCCUCGCCUCAGCAGCGGAGGUCGAGCCGGCCGCAAUUCGGGCCGGCGGCGGCAAAUUCCCGCAUGUGGCGGCUUCUUCCGACAGGCGGCGACGGAUUCCGGUGAGUUCCGGGUAGAUUCCGGCCAAUUCCACGGCGGCACGUCUGCUCCGACGAGGUUUGACCGGUUUGCGAGUUGAACUAUAUACUGGCUUUAAAACUGUACAUAUAAGGUUAUCGCGGAUGGAUUUUCAGUGCCCUUUAAAAGUUUAAGGGCCGAACAAUUUUUACAGGAUCUGCUAGACGCCGUUUUUUCGACCGAAACUGUGAACACCUUUUUUUACGGGUUUGACCAGUUUAAGGGGUCUGCUAGAGAUGCUCUGAUCUGGAGAAUAGCUGAUCCGCAGCAACUUGCGCGACCCGUCCUCCCAGGUGCUUCCUCGCCCCAUCGUCGCGAGUCGACCCCGCCUCUGGUCGUCGCCCGUGCUACGGCAAGCCGCCGCCGCCGACCUCCUCUGCUGGUCAGCCGCACUCAGCGCCCUCCUCCUCCCUUCUCUCUCCCUCUCCUCACUAAUCUCUCUCCAUCUCUCUGUUCCCAUGCUGCAGGACGCCAUGGCCAUGGACCAAAGCUUUGCGGGACCUUCCCUCGCGACUGCCGGCCUUCCUCCUGACCAGAACGACGACGGCGACGACCGGAACUGCCCCGCCGCCGUCCGUUUCUACCUUGCCUAGCCGCACCACGCAUCCGACGCGCAUCCCCAGCCAGCCCCGCCGCCCCAGGUAUGUGCUCGACAAUUUUUCUCUGAAGGCAUAACUUGUAUGCUGCUACGUUGUUUUAACCUUUGGGUAGCAUACUGAUGAAGGUGAUUUGGUUCUUUCAAUCUGUUUGAAGAGCAAGCAGGUGGAGCAUAGGAGUAAAUAGCAUGGUUACUGAUUUCAAUAUUAGCAUCUCAUAUGUGAUGUCCAAUUACUUACGACUAAUCUUAUUCCUAUAUGGUGAUUUCUUGUAAUGUACAGAACAUUUUUCAUGUAUCAAGACCCCUUUGUGGCGUUUGCUUACUGUUUCUUUGGAAUGCCAGAUUCCACUACAGGUGCCAUCAUUUGUUAUGUAAUUUUCUGGACCAGUACACACCCAGAUUUUUUGGUUACUAGAAUUGUUGCACCGAAUCUGGUUUUGUUGGGGCUUAUUUUUGCUCUGAAAAAUAUAGGACAUCACACAUCCAAUUGAUUAAUUUUGUUCAUCAUGGUGAAGUGUUACAUUAGGAGCAUACCUUGGUCGGUUUAUCUUUUACGGAAAAACAAAGGAAAUGAAAAAGAAAAGGUUGUAGCGGAUGCUAGAUUUGCAAUGAAACUUAGUACACCAUGGGAAAAAUUUCUAUAGGAUUCAAUCCUAUGAAUCAAACCCUUCAAAAAUUCUAUGAAAUUCCUUUGAAUCAAAGGUGCCGUUCCUCCCGCCGACAAGUGAGCUGCCUGCCGGCGGCUCGCCACGCGCCAUGGACCUCCUCCACCAGCCCAUGCCGCUAAUCACCGGCGGGGAGCCUCUUUUCCAUGUCGCCCCGCCAACUGAAUAAAUAAAAGAGUCAAAAAACAAAUAAAUAAACUGAGGCGCACGGGGCGAAGAGCGAGACCCAAUCACGACCCGCAAACCCGAAAGGAAAACCCCAACAAAGCAAAAAGCCCUCGACACAGACCAACCCGGCGCGCUAACUGAAGGACAGUCGCCCGUCAAAAAAAAAACUGAAGGACAGUGGAGCCACAGUGAUCCGUGCAGAUCGGACGGAUAGUAAAACGGCCUAAAGCCAAAUAAAAAACAGACGUGUGAAAACUAGAAAAAGUGACCGCUUUACUGCAUAUUUCCCGGGUAGCUGCGUGAGCAGCAGUCAUCCAAGUGAAACGCGUCCCCUUGAGUCCUUCACCUAGCUUCCGGGGAGUUUCUGCGAAGAGCCACCCACCCCCGCGACGACGACCGCAAAGUGGUUUCAACGGCUUGGCCCCAGUGUGGAGACUCUAAAAGGAGCACAGUAUAUAUAAAUCAAAGGCAACCGCGCCAUCAUUCCGGGUCUCGCCCUUGGGUGCAGGUCGGCCAAACUCCUAGCUAUAGGUAGGCUGCUGCCAUGACGCUGUGGAGCGAGCUGAGUGAUGUGGCGACGGUGGCACAGCUGGUCGGCGCAGACGUCGCCGGGCUCAUCUCAGUGAUCAUGCUGGCUGCGGAGACGGCGCGGCAGAACAGGAGGGAGUGCCGGCAGCUCGCGCGUCGGGUCCUCAUAAUCUCGCGGCUGCUGCCGCUCGUGCAGGACCCGGAGUCGGCGCGGCCGAUGGCCGGGCUGUGCGACACGCUUCGGGAAGCUCACGAGCUCCUCCAGUCUUGCCAGAGGAGGAGCGCGGCGUACCGUCUUUUCAUGGCCGGUAGGAAGGCCGUAAGAUUCAGGGAGAUGCAGAACAAGAUCGACUUCUACCUCCUCCUCUUCCCCGUGACAAGCCACAUCGGCAUUGCACGCCGCCUCGACCGAAUCUACAACCUCCUCGACACCACGGGAGCCGGAGGUGAACCGUCUACACUUCCACAGCCGUCCCAGCUGCAGCAGGUAUGCGCAAUUUCAGUACAAAUUUGUUUCGCGGCUCCUUGAAUGCUGACUGCUUAUUUAUGGUCUCUUUUUCAGGAGUCUACAGUGGUCGAUCAGGAAGUAGUACCGUAUGAAAUCCAUGAAUUCACGUUUGCAGAAAUCGUCGCUGCCACCGAUUAUUUUGACCCUCACGCGGGGGUCGAGUCCGACCAAUCUGUAACGAUGUACAGGGGAACGCUUCACGAUGGGCGAGAGGUAGCCGUCAGGCGCAUUAUGGACCGGCAGUCCAGCUUCUUACAGGAGGAGUUCCGUACGGAGCUGGACAUCCUGCCACGGCUCCAACACAAACACAUCGUCCGCCUCCUCGGAUCAUGCGUGACUGCAAGGAAGGACCAGCAACAGAAAAAAAAGCGUCUGCUAUCCUGGUGGAGAAAGGAGCCGAAAGAACCGGAGUGGCUGACCGUCUACGAGUACAUGGAGAACAACACGCUCUUCCACCACCUACACCCUGAUCAGGGCUCCACCGAGCUGUCGCCCGUGACGGUGUCCUGGAAGACGCGCAUCGAUGUGCUCCUCGGCGUGUCGCGCGCCAUCGAGCACAUGCACUGUCAUGCCAACCCGCCGAUUAUCCACCGGAAUAUCAAGCCGGCAAACAUCCUUUUCGACGCCAGCUGGGUGCCGCGUUUGUCAGACUUUGGCUCCUCGGUCGUCUGGGACAUGGCGAGUGAGGAGUUGGGGAUGACUUGCACCAUUACUGGCACAAUUGGGUACAUCGACCCAGAGUACAUGACCAGAGGUCUUGUGAAGCCGACGAGCGACGUGUACAGCCUGGGCAUUAUGAUGCUCGAGGUUCUGACAGGUAGAAAGGUAAUUGAGAGGGACGACCAGGGGGAUAUACUACCUUUGACAUCGUUCGCAGUCCCCAUCGUUGAGGCCGGCAAUAUUAGGGGGUUGCUGGACACUCGACCCGUGCCGGAGCCAACGCCCGGGCAACUCCGGGCGCUGGAGAACGUGGCCCGGACUGCACGAUGCUGCGUGAAGGAAGGGAAGGACCGGCCGGCCAUACCGGACAUCGUGGCCAACCUCGAGACGGCGCUCGAAUUGUUCUGCAAGGACGAGCCAAGCUCAGUUCACGAGUCACCAGAACAUGACAGCAACGUGCAAUGGGCAGUCUUCCCGUCCCUGCCGGUAAACUACAAACUCUGUUACAUUAAUGAAUUCAGUUCAAUCUUGUUCAUACAGUGAUGAAGAUGCAUGUCUCACUACUUAUUUUGUUUGCUUAGGCGUCGCCGGAGAUCACGUUGGCUGAGGAUCGUCCAGGUGGUGGCGGCCACGAGAAAUGCACGUCCGAUCCGGGCGGCAGCUCCUCCAACUUUAUCGACGGCACGCAGCACCUUAAGAUAACUAGUAACUCUAUCUAGUCUAGUUAGUCAUUGACCAUUAGUCUUGUUCUCCUCUAGACACCAGUCAUUAAAGAUGUCUGUAAAAAGAGGAACGUGGGUUGAUGGCCCUUACCUUAGUUUGUUUUCAGGGAUUUGUUAAUUUUCAUCUAGACUAGAUAGAAUUAGUUAUGUCACUUCUAACAUCCCAACCACGCAUCAAAGUGAUACAGGUUCGUGCGAAGAGACAGUUUGUUGUUUUGUGUUUGAGUGUGGCUAAAUCUCAGUCGAUUGAGGCUUAAACAAGUCUCGGUCAAAUGACAGAACAUAUUAAAAAGACGAAGAAAAAUUUAAGAUUUUUUUUUUGCAUGGGUCUUCAUAUAAAAUAUCAUGAAUAUAGCAUCGACUGAGACUUGGUUAAGUCUCAGUCGACUGAGAUUUACCAGUCCAGUUUGCAUUUUUCGGUAGCAACUAAGGGGUACCCCGUGCGGACACUCCGCAAGGGUCAGUCUUGUUAGGCUGCCACCGCCACAUGUCGUGUGAUGGGCGUUCCCUCGGGAUUUGUUUACGCAUUUUCAGGGUUCAUAUGAGUGUUUUUGGCUUUUUGGGGUUCAUCCAUUUUUCCUAGAUUUUGAAGAGAAAAUAUCUCGAGAAACAAUUGUCCGAAAGAACAUUUCUUUUGCUUCCACAAAAGGCACACAUUUUCUUUUUGUGGAGGCCCAAAUUUGCUUCCACGAGAGGUAGUUGUGUCUCUCAAAAAGGAAAAAACGUGUUUUUUUUUCUUCCUCAGAGGUACAAAUUUACUUUUUAUGAAGGCACAUGUUUGCUUCCGCGAGCUGUGCCUCGCGGAAAAAGAAAAAACGUGUUUUUUGGUUCCUUAACAGGUACAGAUUUACUUCUUGUAGAGGUACAUAUUUGCUUUUACGAGAGGCACAUCUAUGCCUCUCGAACAAAACAUCUUUUUUUUUUUGUUUCAGAAGAGAUACAGAUUUGCUUCUCGCGAAAACAUAGAUUUGCUUCAUGUGCCUCUCGGAAUGGGAAAAAAAGUGUAUUUUUUUCGGGUUCUACGAGAGGCACAGAUUUGCGUACACAAGAAGCAAAGUUGUGCCUCUCGAAAAGGGAAAUAAGUGUUUCCGGAUAUGAUUUUUUUCUACCCUUUUUUUCUGAAAAGAAGUUCGUCCAAAUGUACUAACAUGAAAUCUAGUUUCGAAGAUGUCAACGCAAGGGAAACCAAUGGUAAAUAUGGUUUGGAAUUUGGAUAUACGGUUCAAGAGAUAAAAACAUGUACAAAAACAAAUCUACAAAAAACAGAGAUAACUCUCAGGUUGCCACGAAUGGCGCGAAUGCAGUGCACCACUUUCAGCCCAUGAGAAUGUGCGAGUAACUGACGAGACGAGACGAGAAAUUAAGAGCAUCUACAGUCGGACCUCUCAAAUCCGCUUCAUAUGUCUGGGCGGGCCGCCCGGUCACGACUUUUUGACCCAGGCGGGUCCCUCAAACGUCCGGGCUGACCGACACCAUUAUAUCCAUCUCAAAUAUAGGGCGGAUAUGGGGCGCCCAGGCAUGCGCGUCACGUCAGACCCGACAGGUCGACCCUAUCCCAAAUUGCAUCAAAUCCAUCAAAUCCUCCCCCACCCCCCUCCCGCCGUCCUCCAACCAUUCCCUCCCCGGCCUCCACCCUUGCUCCCAAUCCUUACUUCCGGUCCCGAUCCCCCCGCCGGAGAUGUCAUCCAGCCCGACCCACACCACCGCGACGGAGAUGCAGUCCGCCUCAUCCGGCGGCGGCGACUUGCAAGGCGGAAAACGUCGCCCGCAAGUUGCGGUGACGCCGGCAGCGAGAGAGGGAGGCGGCGGCGGCACAGUGAGGUUCGGACGUGGUGGAGCAGUUGUCUCCUCCGCCACGCCCGGAUCCCCGCACCCCUUCCCUCCAAGCCCUACGCGGAUUACGCUGUCCGACCCCCUCCAAGGCCAUCCGUCACGCUCGGACAUUAAUUUCAUUUUGCCAUGUCCGGUUUGUUGAAUUAUGAUUUGCUUUGCUGUGUUUUGGAAUUUGGCAUUCAGACAGCUUGUAUCGUAUGAUCGACGUGCAUGGAUUUAAGGAUCGAAAUUUACGGUAUAUGAAUGUGCGAUGCAACAUUUGAGGGAUGUCCGGUCAAUGCCCGCGGACGCGUCCAUGGGUGUUUGAGGAGCCGGAUUUUCCAAGUCCGGUUGUAGACGCUCUAAGCAUCAGAGACAAAUAGACAAGGGUGUACCUAAGUGUGUUCAAUCGAUUGGGUUCUCAUGACUGAACAAUUAAUGCAUGACCAAACCUCGCAUUCAAGCAACCAGUUAAGGUUUUUUCUUUAGAAAAGAAGGAUGACUCCCGGCCUCUGCAUCUGGGAGAUGCAUACGGUCACUUUAUUGAUUAUUCUUGAGGACCUUACAAAGUAUUACAACAAUGUGCUUGAAUCCACCAUCUUGGCAACACGUGCCGCUACUCCUAUCCAAAAUGAUGAAGGGGUGCUAGCUGGGCCACUACCCAAACCACUCACCUAAGUCUAACUUCAAAAGCCGGAAGCCGAAACAUAUUCGGAAGCCCCAGCCGAGCCACAUACCGGGUCUGGGACACAAUCCGGUCAGACGCACUCAUGUGUCGUCGCCACCAUCUUCCACAGGUCCGUCUUCCGAUCAUAUUGAGGCUUCUACCUUGUCUGGCCACUCCGCCAUCGACGUCACCAUGACGCCAGACAGCAACCUCCUCCUGCGCGAGUCCAUCUCCGUGCAUCGGACGCUGAGCCUCCACAGCGCCAUGCCGCCGAUAUCCGCUGCCAUCGAUGUGUGAGAUGAAGCACCGCUCCACCAUCCCCCAGCCAGCACUUACUCCAAAACGAUGCCCCUAGAAGGGAAAGCGAUAAAACGUCAUCAUCGUCCGAUCCGGAAGACCCAGAUCUAGGGUUUCCCCCGGAGCAUCCCGAGCCUGAUGAUGCAGACUGCAACGACGAUGCCUCGACAAGGGAACGACAUCUAAGACGCCGCCAUCAUCCGCCAUGACCGUAGUCGGCGCGAUUUUCAUCGACAGUUGCUCCACCAGACGUGCGCCGCCGACGUCGCUGGUCCCUUCAACCGGAGCAAACUCCAAAACAAUGCCCUAAAGAGGGACUACGGCGCAAAAGCGCCGCCAUCGCUCGAUCCCAAGGAGAUCUAGGGUUUCCCCAUAGUUGCCCGUGCUGCCAAGGGCCAGACAAGGGUAGAAUCCCGCAGAUCUGCCCAGCUGCCGACGAGUCGCACCCACCACCGUGCCGACGGNNNNNNNNNNNNNNNNNNNNNNNNNNNNNNNNNNNNNNNNNNNNNNNNNNNNNNNNNNNNNNNNNNNNNNNNNNNNNNNNNNNNNNNNNNNNNNNNNNNNNNNNNNNNNNNNNNNNNNNNNNNNNNNNNNNNNNNNNNNNNNNNNNNNNNNNNNNNNNNNNNNNNNNNNNNNNNNNNNNNNNNNNNNNNNNNNNNNNNNNNNNNNNNNNNNNNNNNNNNNNNNNNNNNNNNNNNNNNNNNNNNNNNNNNNNNNNNNNNNNNNNNNNNNNNNNNNNNNNNNNNNNNNNNNNNNNNNNNNNNNNNNNNNNNNNNNNNNNNNNNNNNNNNNNNNNNNNNNNNNNNCGGCCCGGUGGCGCCGGCCCGCGCCAGCCCCACCCGAGCGAGAGGGCCCGAGUCCCCGCCGCCGCCGGCGACGGCUAGGCUUCGCCUGGCCGCGCCCUUGGGCGGCGGCGAGGGAGGAGGAGGAGGAGUGGGGGAGGUUCGGCGGCGAUGGGAUCUGGGGCCUCCCGGUCGCCCACGCGGGGGGCGGCUCGGGAGGGAGACGUACGGGACGGGAGAGUUGGUAUGUCGUAGUCUUUUCACCACUUAAGGUAACUGCAAGUAACAUCAAGAAUCAUAGUAUAAGCUAGUACACCUAGCAGAGGCAGAAAGAUUAAUUGGGCCAUGGCCAUGAGAGCUGCCCGGCACCAAAUUAACCUCGAGCUACACUAUAAGUCGGUGUUCCUAGCUAACACUCGCUUCCAUGGUUGCCCAUCACAAACGGAUCGAUUAGCUGAGCUAGCAUGGCAAGAAAGGUUUUCGCAUGCGUCUCUCUUGUAAUCCUUGCGCUUGUGCUCGCUGGCCCAGGCGCGAAGGCCGCGGCGAUCUACAGCAUCGACGGGGCGGUGUCGUCGUCCUCGUCGUUGGCAAGACUGGAGGACGGUGUGGCGCCAGAGCUCGCGGUGGUGACGACGGCAGAUCUGGAGGUGCACCGCGACAUCCUCCGCGGCAUCGGCACGGGAGCCCUGGACCCCAGCAAGCCAGGCUGCCUGCCGUUGUGCGCCGGGAAGGGACUGCCGUACACCGGCCGGCGAUGCAACCCAUAUAACCACUGCCCACCAAAAAAGUGAACGUAAGGGCACUACAACUACUACGGACUGUAUCCAUUUCCAUUCUUGAAGUAUAAGUUGUCAUCGCGCGGUCCCGCUGUACAAACAAUUGUGAAGUGGCAGUGAUGAUCGAAAGUGAAGGUUAUCUUUGUACUCCUCUUUUAUACUACUCUUUUAUACUAGUACUCGCAGAUUAAUAUUACACGAGUUAAUAUAACUAGUACUACUGAUUGUGUAUGUUCAAUGCACGUUAAUAUUACACAAGUUAUUAACUUUACUAAUCGCAGAUUAAUAUUAGGAGUUUAGGACGUUAGAUAGAUGCGGUUGAACAAGUGAGAUUUGUUAGAUAUCUGCAACUCGCCAUUUUUAUAUUGGUAUAGAUAUAGAUAAACAUAAGCUACUAUUGAGUGAGUUGCUUUGUUCUGUGACUGUACCACAUUGUCGAGAAAGAUGGUAAUUUUCUCUACUGAAACCAGCUGCGGCUAUUCACGUACGCAUGUAGGCACCAUUCAUUCAUUCAUUCAUUUUGUCACCAGAUCGAUCAUCAAAAGCUGUAUAUAUGUGCUAAUCGGCAACUUCGGAUCACUCUGCUUUAUUCUUAGAUUUUUCUGAUACGAAGUUCAUUGGUACGCACGUGGUACUAUAUCCCCCGCUCCUUAUUGUUACAUCCAUCGCCUGCCUGAAAUCCCUACUUCUUACAUGGGUUUACUAGCACCGCGAGGAGAUGGAUUCGAUGGAGCUUAGCUUGACGAUAAGCUGGUCUGGUAGGCCUGCCACCCUCGGGCGCGGUACUCCCUCGCGGCACCGGCAGGAUCGCUCACCUCUAUGAUCGCGCGCCCGACCACGAUCACGUCGCCGCCUCGCUCGUUUACGACCUGCAAACAAAAUAAGGGGUAAUGAGCAGCAGGUUGCAAUGCAGUGCAGGUGAGAGAUCAGUGUCAGUCAGCACAUAUGAAGCAGAGACUUCACGGUAAAAAAAAAACUCCCUCUGAGAAAUAACUGCUAGGUGCGUGUGAAGAAAACAGACAGAGUGGUAGUCACACAAAACUGAAAUGGUAACAGACUCACCAAAUGAGGGGUUUCAUACUGCUGACCAGGAGAAUCUCCUCCAGCGACAACAUCAACUCCGGUAUCGACAACGUGGACGAACGCUGGGCUCGGCGCUGGAGCUGGCCAGGAUGCAGGGUUUACCGACAAGAAUCCGAUAACGAAAUCAGAAUGUUGCUCGGCAAACUUCACGGCUGCCGUGGUGUAAUCUCCAUGAGCAAGGUUGCUCGGUGCGCUCAUCUCAGCAACCAAGAGUAACCCUUUUCCCUUUGGCAAACCCUUGAAGACAAUAAAUUGUCAGUUUUAGUGUCUAUGAGCAGUUGAGCAGUAGUACACUACUACAACAUAGUAUCAGCCAUCAGCAGCUGUAACAUUGACCCUUGGAAUUUUCAGCUCAGGAUUAACUAGUUAUAAGGCAAGUAAUUAGCAUAGUAUACCUUCAGCUUCAAGCCAUCUAUGAUUCCAGGUCCAGGGACUACAUGCGCUGUGACAAUAUCGGCCCAGUCUGAUAUGCGGAAUAUUCCUCUGAAUCAAAAGUAAGAACGCUAGUUAUAUUAUGUCGGUAUAUACAGAAUAAACAAAGUCAGUAGGUGGUUUAUAAUCCUCUGCUCUCACCCUUCAUAUUGCAUAGUUACCGUGUUCCCCAUGUCAGCGAAUUUGCGGUCUUCAAGGAUCAAAAAGUUGUGCUCUUCAGCAAUCUUCGGAAAACAAAUUAAGAAUCAUGAAACAGAAAACAAGCAAUGUAAGAACCAAGCAGCCAAAACCACAUUUCAACAGUAGAACAAACAGAUUGACAGCGAACAUAUUACAUUGCCUUGGUAUAAAGGUCUAUUUAGGACUGUCCAAAUGUGAAGAAGGCAUUAUUAAGGGUGUACAUAACUUAUAUGGGACAAACACACUUUCAGACUCUAAUAAAUGCAGAAGUGAAAAGAACUGUAUGAACAAAGGCAAUCUGUACUGAACCUACAAUUGCUUUAUAUAUCUACACCUGAUAGGCAUGAUCCAACACAUGAUUUAUGUUCUCCUUUCAGACUGAUCCAAUAUCUGAUUACUGAAAAACUAACUUCAACUCAAUGCAGGACUAGAAUGGCAUACUGGUCUACUAAACAAUGCUACACGUACGGAUGGGCCUUACGGAAUUAAUCUUACAGAAUGACGUGGGAGAAAGCAAGCAGCAAAUACCGCAUUUCUGCAGUAGAAAACAGAUCACAAACAGAGUACAUUGCCUUGCUAUACACGGCUAUUUUGUCCAAAUGCGAAGAAGGCAUUAUCGUGGGCGCACAGAACUAGAUGGGAAACGGCACACUUCCACAUUUUAACAAGUGCAGAAGUGAAACAUGCUUCCUGACAGAUCAGAUGAACAAAGAUACUCUGUACUGCUGAACUUACAACUGGUUUAUUUUUCUACACCUGAUAGGCAUGAAGCAUGAUUCUACACUUGAUUUCUUUUCUUUUUUUUCAAAAUGAUGUAACAUCUGAUUACUGACAACCAAACUCCAAUUCAGUACUGGACUGGUAUGUCACUACUAGUCUUACGACCAGACAUAAAAAUGCGAGGAAAAUCAUCAAUAAUAAGGACGGUUGAAAGAAAAUAAAGGUUGCAUCAGAAGCAGGGUGGCCAUACCGAACGGAGCUUGGCACCAAAAUCUGGUGUAAAAUCAGACAAGAUAUCCACAUGGGUUUUCAGCAUGCAAAUCUCUGGACCAACCUACAAUUGGAGAACAAAAUUACUACUAGUGGUACAUGUUAAGAUUGGGGGCCUAGUAACAAAAAUUUAAACAGGACUUGGAAAUUAAUAAAACGAGCAUCGGAAAAAUAGUGAAAAUGUCAAAGAUAAUCCAGCUUAGUGAAGAACUGUAUGAGACAGAGAUGACAUUGUAUUCAGCACCUGUACUGAACCCACACCGAUUUUUUUUCGAGUGGUACUAUUUAUACCUGCAACAUUAGAUUCCUCAAAAGUAUUUGCAACAGUACAUGUGAAAGGUAUACAAUAAGUACAGUACAAAAAUUCUGAAUUUAUUCAGUUCACAACCCCCAAAUCUGUGUCUUUGUUUCAUGCAUGAAUUACUGAUGCAGUCAAUUUGGUCUUGAAACAUUACAUGUGUGCAGUCAAUUUCAUCUUGACACAUUACAGAAUGCUUGAUUACCCAAGAUGAUAAAUUAUAAGUGUGUAAACAACCUAUCUGAGCAUCAAUAAACAGCAAAUGAUAAUUUAUUAGUACUGUAUGAUUUGUAUACCUUGUUGGCUAGCUCAAGGAGUUCCUUUGCUGUUGUAACAUCGGCGGCGACGCAGAGGUUGCUCUGCUUUGCCUCCAUGACCUCGAGCAGCUUCCUCCCCACCGGGUUCUUGGCCAGCCUCGCCCUCUCGGCGAACGCCGUCCUGGCCGGCACCACCUUGGGCUCCGCCGGCACCAAGACCUUCCUGUUGGCAUCCAGGAAGCGCUUCACCUCUGCGGCCUUCUCCCGGGUGACCUUGCCGUGGCUGACGAGCACGGCGAGCACCUCGGUGAGCGUCAUGAGCGAGUGCAGCGUGACCCCGUUCGCCGCGAGGUUCUCCCUCCCGCCCUGCUCGCGGUCGACGACGACGACGGCGUCGGCGACGACGAGCCCCUCGUCCCGGAGCGGCGCGACGGUCUCGAGCACGGAGGCGCCGCUGGUGACGAGGUCCUCGACGAUGAGCACGGUGUCCCCGGCGCGGAAGGAGCCCUGGGUGCGCAUGGCGGGAGGGGCGCCGGCGCCGGUCUCGUGGUAGCGGCGGAGGAUCAUGGGGAUGCUGCGGGCGACGGAGAGCACGGAGGCGAAGGGGAGGGCCGUGUAGGGGACGCCGCAGAGGAGGCCGUAGGGGCGCGUGGAGGGGAGGGAGCCGAGGAGCGCGGCGACGCGGGAGAGGAGG
rnacentral:lncRNA from 1 species